UUUUUUUUUUUUUUUUUUGCCUUGAGAGAAUGUAGGCAAUUCUCUCUUGUUUUACGUGAAGUAAUGUGUUGUACAUGAUGAAGCCUAUAUUUUGCCAGUAUCUGACUUCAAACAUUCCCAUUUUCACAGUAUAACUUCUUCUCCAUAUUGAUCAAGGUCUACUGGCUUGCACUCUCAUUUACUAUUGCAUAAGCAACGCUUACUGAUUUACUCUCAAGGACGACUGUCUAACUUGAAUAGUGGAAGACUGGAAGUGGACUGUCUAAAUAUACGAGAGAAAUGUCAAUGGAAUCCCUUCUUCUUUGAUUUUUCUCGUACUGAAGACUUGAUGUUGGAUAAUUCUAGCUUAAAAUAGCGCAUAACUCCAACAGAUUUUUUUUGCUUUUGUUACGCUAGUUUAAACAGAUUUUAAGAGUCAAAUUCUAAAUAUGUAUAUGAGUUGCAACGAGGGAUGAUUGCAGCUGGGCUUGAGACCGUGAGGUGAUCGUACCAUAUCGGUGACUGCCAUCACAUGCAUAAAGAUGCGGGAGUUUGGCAAUGAUGGCAUUUGUGGGACGCGAAGAAGGGGAUUGAUGGAUUGACAUCUCUCCCGUUCAACCUUUGUUUAGUUCAAAAUUAUCCCAAAAAAUAUUUCGCUUGCAUCACAAACACAUUUCCCAACCUGCCUUUUUAUAUUCCCAACUACUUUUUAUCUCACAUACAUCACAUCACAAAAAGUGUUACAGUAAUUAUUCCAAAUAAUAUUUCAAAUAAUACACUAUCCAAACAAACCCACAAUUUUGUUGUAAUCCAGAGUUUUGCAUACAUUGAGCACAAAAUUUGUGUUUAUUAGUAUUUUUAGUACACCCUAAGUGGGUGCUUAAUUCAUGAAAACGUAUGAUUAUUUUUUUCAUAUUAAGUUACAUAUCAUGACAGACAUAUAUGUAUUUAUCUAAAAAAAAAAAUCUAAAGUUCCUACUUUAGAGGAAGAUAUUGUAUUUAAAAUCAUAGUGGAGAAAAAAAUAGGGAUGUAAACGAGUUAGUGUGAGUAAGCGAUUGUGACAAAUUUUUUUUAACAAUAUAUUGGUAUCAGUUUACCCUUAUAAUUAAAGGUAAAUUAUAAAUUUUAAAAGUGAUACCGUAUGUUUACACCACGCACCGUUACACUAUAUAUACUAGUAUCCAAGGCACACAUUAAUAUAUGUACAACUAGUAAGAAAAAUGUUUGUCAAAUUUGUGGAGUACACAUAUAGAAAUUUUACCAAAAUAAAAAGUAUAAAAAAUAGUUAUUUGGUAGUAAUUCGAAACCAUAAUUGGUAGUUACCAAUGAAAAUUAAGAUUUAUUAAAUAAGUUGAAAGUUAAAAUAAAAAAUAUAUAUUACUUGAUAGAAAUUAUAUUAAUGGUGGAUAAGUGUAUCAAGAGUAGUUUGGACACGCACACACACAGCGAAUUGGACACGCACACACACAACGAAAGUUUAGGGACGAAAUUGGCCAUUUUCCCAAAUUAGAAUUGGAGAGGCCCAUUUCGGAUGGUUCGUUGGUUAGCUACUUGGCUUUUGCGCGCUUUAAGCCUUAAACGCUUGAAUUCGCUCUCACGAACAAAACGUCCCUUCCUAAGGAUCUCUCUUAUGAUUUCUACUUCCAUCUGACGCCAUCAAAAUGACUGACACCAACAAAUUGUCUACAUAUCCUAUCAAUCACUGGAGUCGGCAUAGUGACAUCAAACCUUAACAUCUGUAAAUAAUUUUUGUGAAUUUUUAUGGCCCAUUAUCACAUGUGCUUUAAUUUUUUUGGGCCACUGCAUAUUCUCGAUAUGUCGAUUAGGUGCAGAAGACCCCACACACCAUUCAAGUGGGACAAUUGUCAUACGCUUUCUUAUGGAUCACAUACAACACCAAAGCCUAGAUAAGUUCGUUCAAUUGGUAAAAUCAAAUAAUUUUCUUAUAAAAUAGCUCGUGUUUAAAUUUUGUUAUCGACACGAGAGCUACAUUGACAAAUAAUUUGUAAAAAUUUCUCUAAGCAACUUAUAAUUUCAGAGUCAUGCGUUAAUUUGUGAUAGUGAUCGAGUCGAAUUCAUCCAAAUUUUUUAUUAUAAAAAUGAAAAUGAAAAACAGCACCACAUGGUUUAGCCCACAUAUGUUGCAUAUUAUGUUGAGCCGAUCCAUGCAAAAAGUUUGGCUAAAGAUUUUGCCAGAAGAAAUGAGUUGGGUGGAGGAAUUGUGAGAAACUAAGCUCCGAAGAUUCUAUACUCUUUUUUUUUUUUGACAAUACAUUUGCAUGGGCACCAGAAAAGAAGAGCAACGAUUUCUGGUCUGUCCAUUUAGCACCACGGGGCAAUCAAAUUUUGUCCUUGCUAGAAUUUGUGCCAUGGACCUGAGUUUGAGAUCGGAUCAUCCAGCCUGGAGUUGGACUGUCGAGUCUACCUACCCCAGCUUAGGCCAUAUCAGUCAAUUUUAAUGGGCUUGUCUCUGCAUGAAAUGUGGCUGUUUUGUUGCGCAAAUUCUUGCUCACAUAUGCAGAGCAAAGUCUCCGUUCGGUAAUGGUUCACGUCAUUCAUUUACCCAUUUGAUUUUGAGACCCACCGAAAAAGAAAAAGACUCUCAGCCCAUUGCCAAUAUCCUUCCGCAGGUUAAGUGUAUCCUCGGGACUGGUUCUUUAUUACAAAUUUGUAGAUGUAGAUUCGGCAUUCACUUUAUUACAUUGUAUUUCAGAAAACGGCCUUCUUUGGAUUGUUAAUUUUUCUCAAAAAAAGAAUUUUUUUUGUGAAUAUUCAUUUUACAUAUUUCUUAAUUUUUUUCACCUCACAUCUCAUAAAAAAUGCUAUAGUAAUUUUUUUCCAAAAACUUGCCGAAGGUGCAAUCCAAACAACCUCUCGUUUACAAAACAGAUCAUAGUUUUCUAAGAAGAAAAAGAUUUAUAAACUUGUAAUUUGGAAAAUAAAUUUUUUUACUACAUCAUAUACAUGCUUCCAAUUAUCUUUCAAUCUCAUUUGCAUACAUUACAAAAAUAUAUAUAUAUAUUAUGAAAUUAUUUUAAAAAGUUUUCCCAAAUAAUUUUCUAUCUCUAUAAUAAUUAGCUUUUGUUUGGAUACACCAUUUUUUUUAUAAAAAAAAUAUUUUGCUUGUAUCAUAGAUGCUUUUCUGAAUCUCCAUUUUAUUUUUUCAAUUAAUCUUUUUAUUUCACAUACAUCAUAUUACAAAAUAUGUUACAAUAAUAUUUCAAAAAAAAAUCUAAAUAAUCGUCUUUCUAAACACACAAGUAUCUUGAACUCGUUUAGUCGAUGAUUGCAAUCUAGGGCCUGUCUGGGUGGCCCUUUUUUGCUUGUUUAAAAAAAAAAAAAAGAAAUUUGAUUCAAACACUGUCUACAGUAAAUAUCAAAGACCCGUACGGUUUCGAAAGCAUUAAAAAAUACAUUAAAUGCGAAAUUGGUGGCAGAGGCGAGUACAAUGGUGAGCGGCAAAAAUUCGCGAUGGUGGUUGACAGGUGAUGGAGGGAGGGAGAAGUGUGUUCUUGGUAUUUUCAACAAAUAUCAAUAUUUUUUAAAAAAAAUAAGUACAUUUGUAGUAAUAGUUUAGAUAAAUACUCAGAAGAAACACACUACUCGAGCAGAGUCUGUAGAAAUAUUGAACAGCCUGAAACUACUGGUCCAUGCUCGAACUCCAGAAAAAUCAUAUAGCAAAAUGCUUUUUAUAGAAAACGAGGCUGACCUCUCAGAGGCAGAGUAUGAUUACUAAAUCCUUUGCGGCUUGUGGGUAGGGACGCUAAUAAGUCGUUGCUCAUAAAGAAAAUUCCAAAAAAUUAAGAAAACAACACCGCUAAGGAAAAACUCAGGUCAAUUCAGAAGCAGCAAUGGUUAGACUGAGUGCAGAAGGGACCAGCCAGCAUAGAAGGCCUACCGAAUAAUUUGCUAGACGGAGAAGGGAACUAAAUUGGUGUUCUAUAGCAAAUACUGGGAAGCAUGACCACUGUUACAAGCUUGACAGCUGAAUUCCGAGUCUUUGCAUUUACUUGCGAAAAGCUUACUCGGUAAAGAGGAUGCUUAAUCUGACUACUUUUCGACUCUGAUGGGGCAACAAGAAUCCCCUAGCCUCUAGGGAACUCGUUAUUAAUGAACAUCUAGCUUACCUCUCCCAAAGGAAAGCCCGGAAGAGGGGCAGAAACGAUUGCGGGAAGAAAGCAAUUAUUUUUAAAGGUUCGUGGCCAAGAUUUGGCAAAAAAAUAUAAGAUUCAGAUUUAAUAUUGUAUCUCAUUUUCACAUCAUGGGUAAGGCUUAAAACGACAACCAGAAAUUUUAGCAACAAGAGACUGAAAACUUCUGCAGAGGCUGCUUGAGUAUCCACCACAAGCCUAGAAGCCUCUGUUAUUUUAAGGAUUAUCUUACAGGGGCGCCUUUGAAAGUAGUUCUUACUUUUUCAUCCAAAAAGAAUCUACAAAAACUGUUAGCAUUAAGCGCAUCGAUGGAGCCACUGCUUCUAUAAUUUGUUUUAUUAAUCCUUUCUUUUAAUUUUAAUUUUAAUGUUUUGGGUAAUUCCCUUCUUUUAAUUUUAUCUUCUGGUGGACUUUGAUCUAGCUAACAAAAAGUAUUGAACUUCUUGUUCCACGGCUCCCGCAGGUAGUGAAGCAAAAUUUGCCGGAAUGCAUCAUUUCCCCUGUUAACCGCAAGGGAGAACCUGCAAACCAUGUCAUAGUUAAAAGGAAAAAAAAAUGCCCAAAACAGAGAACCGGGUGAACGGUGGGAGGCUGUGUUUAAUAGAAGGCUUUAAUAAUUCAACGUUGACAAUGUCAGUUCCUCAUAUUUGUAGAACCAUCCACAAAUAAAUUAGAAAAUUACAGAAGCUACAAACAUAGAUGACCCAAAAAUGUAACUUGGAUCAGGAAAAGAAAAAACUAAUCCUAACUCCUAAGGCCUAACCAACUUCAGCAGUAAUGUUCUGCAUCAUUAAUGCUAAUAUACAAAAAGUAAGAUGAGUAACAAACAAUUAAUAGCAGGCGCUAUCAGGUCUCCUUUCAAAACAAGACUGGAUUUGGACAUGUGGUUCCCUUGUCGACAUCAUUUUAAAUAGAAGAUCAAGGUCGGGAUGCUGGAAGUACCCAUCCUUGGGCUUCUGGGGCAUGCUCCUCUGCUGCUGCUUCUGCUUCUGCUUCUUCAUGUAAACUCGUUUCCUUUUUGGGGCUGGCGGACACUCCGCCGCCGCCACCGGAAUCCUGGACCCCUCGUGCGUCGGUGUCCUAUAGCCUUCCUCCACCUCCUCUUCCCCCUUCAUCAUCCCAAAAUGAUCAUAUCCGCCACCGACCUCCAUCUUCAACGUCAUUCAAUCCUCUCGGGCUAACCAACAAAGGUACUUAGCUGCUACUAUGCAAACGAAACAAAAUGGAUAGAUAUGAACCGGAUCAGGGUCUCACUCUAUAUAUACAGAGAGCAAAAUUUAGGUGGCGGUAAUGGUUGGCAAUAUACGGCACAUGGCUUCUUGCGGAAGCUGUUAAGCUUAACUGCUAAGUGUAAUUCUUGCAUAACACAUUUUGACUCAUCCAAACUUUUGGUGGAAGCAACUCAUGACUUCGUCCCACUGGGCUUCCACGUGGCACCAAAAAAGCUACAUCCUUUUCUUUCGCCACCAAGUGGCAAGUGCAAUGACCCGAUUCGCUUGCACGGCAAUGGUUGCAAAUUUGCGGAUAAGGUGUCGGUGUAGUUGUGUUUUGUAAAGUUCUGCUCAAUUAUCAAUUGUGUUCAAUUUUUUAUGUAUAAAUAUUAUACUAAAUUCAUGUUAAGUAUUUUAUUUUUGUACAUAAUUUUUUACUAAAAAUAUAACAAUGUAAAAUAAUAUAUAAAGUAUAACAAUUAGACCGAAUCGCAUGGAACCCAACCGCACUGAUUCCUUUCCCCAAAUUUGCAAUAUUUGCACGGAAAGCAAGAAUCAAUUUCAUUGUGUAAUUACACCACGGUAGAACGAGAUCAAGGGUCAAGUUAGUGAAAAGUUUAAAAGAAGUUGAGGGAUGAUUGACACCAUAAAGCAUAAUGGUUGUGUUUGGAUUGUAACUUUUUGAAGUUUUUGUAGAAAAUGUAUGUAGAGAUUUAAUAUACGUGAGAUAAAAAGGUAAUUGGAAAAUAUGUUUACGAAAACGUAUAGAUUUUUUGAUAUCUUUUCUUUUAAAAAAAUUUUUUACUCCAUUCAAGAGAUAUUCUAACUUCUUGUUGAUGAAUGUCUUUGUAUCUUGUAAAUAAAUUAUGAGCCAUUUUGAUUGAUUUAUUUAAUGCACUAAAAAAGUUAACUAUAAUGGAUACACAUUUUCAUUUUCCUUGAGAGCCAAAAUAGAAAAAAUGAGAUUUUAAUCAACAUGAUCAACUACUAAUAAGUGCUCCUGUAAAUUAUUUUUGUUGCGUUAAUUUGUUACGCCUUGUUUGGAAAGGGAUCUUUCAUUAAUAAAAUAUCUACAUUUUUUCAUAAAUAUAUUUUUCAAUCAUAUUUUUACUUAAUAUAUAUCAAAUUAAUAUAGUAUAUUUUUUUAUAAAAACUUCAAAAAAUUUGCAAUUCAAACACAACCUUAGGAGGGUUCCAAUUUAACAAGUAGGAACCUUACUUAGCUAAUCAUCAAUUUUUAAGCAAGAGAGAGAUAAAGGGGCGAAUAAAAACCGUGCAGGGGGGCUGUAUUGUUGGGGGAGGGCAAACGACAAAAGACUGGAAAGGCGUAAGCCUCAAGACGAAGCGCGCGAAGGUGCACGGAACCGGUGGUUCGAAUCUGAACCUCUCGUUUAGACUUUAGACUUUAUAGAGUGGGGACUAUGGAGGGGGUUUGCUUUUAGGCUUUUAGCGAGCUCGAUCAAUUUGAUGAAAAGGAUAAGACUUUAUUCGACGCCUUAUGCUGAUAUGAUAAUAUUAUUCUCUUUAAUGGGGCCGGACCAACAAACAAGUACUGGGCUAAUGGGCCAGGCUAAGGGCUACAGAUGGUAACACGUGUAACAAGAAGGGCUGAUAACGUCGUUUUCGUGUGGACUCAGGACUGGGCCUACUUUUGGAGGAUGCAGCCCCACGUGCUGUUACGAAGUGACUCGAAAGUUUGGACUUUUGGCACCACGGCGACUCGAAGGGUAAAGAAGCUGAAGAGUGGCGUGCGUUCAUUUCCAUUUUCCACCUUACCUUUCGAGUUUAUCUUCGCUCCUGAUAUGACGUGAUUGCUCGAGAGGCCUUUUUGGUUGAACUUGAACUGGAUUCUUCUUUUUCUUUUCUUUAUGAUGAUGGGGUGGAUUCUCUUUGUUUUCUUUCAUAUUAUAUUUUUUUCCAACAAACGUUUUCUUUCGUAUUAUAUGAUAUACAUUUUACAAUAGAUGUUCAUAAGAGUAUAUUUUUGAGGUUUCCAUCCUGGGAAUUCUAGUCUUGACAAUUGGUUGAGCCUUUUGGGUUAGCUUUUCUAAUUUUUGGAAAAUUGGCUUAAUUUCUUUCCAAAAAUGAUCUUCGCACAUCGGAAUGAGAACUGACGGUCAUAUACAUGAAAUUGUAUUUUGAAUAAUUACUAACCACCAGUCUUUUGGCUGUUGGUCACCAUUAAGCCAUUUAAACUUACCUUCUAUCAAUUAUCACAUUAAGUGGCUUCUUAAAAAAAAAUUCAGACAGAUGCGUAGUGUAUUCGUUUGGUCCGGUGGUGAUUCAGUCCCCACCGGUCCCCCUAGACCCAGUUGGGUCUCCUCCUUAGAUUAGGAUAGUAUAGAAUACUAUAAAUAAAGUGAUAAUUGACACAAAAAAAAUAAUUACUAAAGUACUUAUUAAAAUGCGAUAUAUGUGAGAUAAAAAGAUGAUUGAUAAAAUUUUAAGAAAUUAAUUAAGAAUUAUGUUUGUUGUGCAAAUAAAAUAUUAUUUGAAAUAGAAUUUCCAUCCAAACACAGGCUAUAAUUUUUCUCCAGGAGCUCCCAAAGAAACAGACCAAACGGGCUUGGUAAUGCUUUCAACAAGUGGCCGAAUUCGCACUACUGGGCCAAGGAUCGUUUCCUUUUUGGUCUACCGGAUUGGUUGGCAACUGAUUGAACUUUGUGAUAUUGGACCGGUCCUGGUUUGCUGAAUGGAGUCACUAGUCAACAAAGAUUUGUUGGAAAGAUGGAAGACCAUUGAAAACAAAGCAUGUCAAGAGUAAAUACUUAAUUUAAAUAGUAAAAGGUUGUUAAUACUAGUAAAUACUUAUUUUAAAUACUUGUAUUAUACUACAACAUUAAAACCUUUAUGCACACAUAAAAUGUUCUCUAUCAAAAAUAUGAAAUCUCAAUUUGAUGAAAUUAUUCUAUUUUAAGAAAGCAAUUGCUUGAGAAAUAAACUUUUCGACACAGGAUCAGCACUUAUUAAAUCGACUCAUAAUAAAGUUUAGGAUCUAUUUUGAUUUUUGCAAAAUAAUUUAGGAAGUGUGUUUGGAUAGUAGAUUAUUUGAAAUAAAUUUUUUUUAAAAAAUUAUUAUAUCACUUUUUUAAUAUAAUAUAUGUAAAAUAAAAAAAUGGUUGAAAGAUGUGUUUUGCUCCAUCCAGUGAUAACGGCGGGUAAGUUGACUUGGGGUUUGGAAAUCAAUUGAGUUCAAUCGGAAAGGCCAACUAGUUCACAUAUUGGUCAAAUUUUCUGACACGUGAGUAAACAUUUUCUAUUGCGAUCAUUUAGUAUUUUGCACUAAAAUAUACUGUACUAGAUUGUUUAGUGAAAAUCUGUACAGUCAAUUACUGCAACAAAAGUGAUGGUUUGUGCAAGCAUAAACAAAUAAAAUGAGACUGAUACAAGUUAUAAAUACCUUUUAGUUUAAAUAUCACAAUUUAUCUGUAUCCUCGAACUUCCUUUUUUGUUAUUUAUUUCUCAGGUCAAUGAGAUUGCUUAUAAAGUUAUUGAAAUAAAAAAAUUAUAUUAAAUUCGAUUAAAAAAUAAAUCAACACUAGAGUUUAUUUCUGAGUGCAAAAACGUAAACUUUAAAUAACUCGAAUUUAUUAAUUCACCAUUCUAGUUCUAGAAUUCUACUCCUGUCCAUCUGAUUUAAAAAAUGUGUAUUUCGAUUAGAGUUCUAGAAAUUUACUCCAGUCCAUAUUUUAAUAAGGAAUUAUUUACACAAAUUUAUCUGUUUACAUUAUAAAUAUAUUUUUAAUUACUUUUUUAUAUCAUAUAUAUUAUAUCAAAAAAUAUUUUUUAAAAAAUUAUUCCAAAUAAUCUUCAAUCCGGAGGCAUUCCAAUGUAACUUAGCCGGUUCAAUUAAACUGGUAAACUUGGAGGAGGGAUGGACGCAGAGCUGAACCGGUCCGCCCUCACCAGGUAGACGCUAAGAAAGCCGCUUCAUGAAAAGGUUCUUCUUUCUCUGCACAUAAAACCUCCUCACCAUGUGCAGCUGAGGUGGGAAAGUAACUAGGGUUCAACCGCCACAUCUACAGUAAUUACCACCAAAAAAGAAAAGGAAAGAAAAAUGCCAUUCAUAUCGAAGAUAGAGAGGCAGACGGAUUACAGCCAGUUCGAUUCAACUGUCCCCAUCGUCAUCGACAAUGGCGGUUCAUAUUUCCGCAUUGGGUAACAAAAGCCCUAAUUCCUUGGUUCGCUUAGAUUAAUUUGCGUUGUGAAGUUGUGUUUUGAUAAAAUUACCGAUAAAUUACAUCCUUCAAUUAUGAUUUGGUCUGGUGAUAGCUGGGCAGGGGAGGAUGAGCCUCGGGUUAUAUUCCGGAACAUUGUUCAGAGGCCUCGCCAUAAAACCACUGGUAUCUCUUGAUAUACAUAUAUUUGUAAUUUUCACUAGUGUAAUUUUUCGGCAUUAUGCCAAUGUUAAUCUCCCUGCCUCUGAAGUUGGAUUUGAACUGAAUAUACCAUUGUGCUAGAUUUUUCCCCCAUCUUCUUCUUCUUCUUGUUUUUUUUUUUAUUUGAGCAUGACAUGAAUGAUGGAAAACUUAUUUUUAACGGGUAGGCUAGAUAUCUCUUUUAUAUACUCGUUCAACAUAAGCAAAAAUUUUUGGGUCAUGUGCAUGCCAAACUUCUUUUACCAAAGUUUUGAUUUUUGAUUAAGAUGAAUGAGCUUCAAAUGUCUUCCACCCUCAAUUUUUGGUGCUCUCCUGUAAUUGAAUUCUUUUAGUUUUAUUAUUAUUAUUAUUCCUGUAAUUGCAUGAGGGCAGUAUAUCUGCUUCUUUGUUUUUGCUGGAGCACUAGAUUGAGUGUAAUUAAUACAGUCAAAUGAUUUAUGUAUUUACAUUUGUGGUCUUUCCUGUUCCACUCAACCUAUAAUUUAUGAUCUGAAUGGAAAGAACAAAACCUCUGCAUUCACAUGUUUUAGAUUGCAGAGGUUUUGGACUCAUGGGUUCAAAAUGGUUGCUUCACAUGUUUGAAUCUACACGUAGUUCCGAACUUCUAGUUUUAUAAUUUGAUUUUACAUCAAUUAAAAGUUUUUUCUGCAUUCUUUCUAAUGCAGGUGAAACAGUCACAGUUGUUGGUGAUCAUAACCCAGCGCUACUAAGAUAUUUUGAUUGCACACGUUCAGGACCUCGUUCGGCUUUUGAUGGCAAUGUUGUGUAUCAGUUUGAGAUAAUGGAAUAUGUAAGUUUCAUUAAUUUUGAGUAGUAACUGGGUUUCAAGUUACCUUGCUGAAACUUUUCACUCUAUAUUCUCCAAUGAAUACUCUUUACUGUAGAAUGGUGAUCAACUUGUUUCAUAAUUCUAAUAGGAUAGAAAGCACACCCUCUGUGUCCAUAUGCGUCACACAGUUAGCAGUUACUUUCACCCUGUCAAUAAUGAGAUACUAAAAGUCGGUACUUUGUUAGACUCCUAAGAAGCAUGUGUUAUGUGUUACAUAUUAAUAACUUGCUUUCUCAAUCUGCAUCACAAAACUUAUCUGUCAUUUUGUAGAAAUUUUCUCAGUGAAUUACCAUCUUGAUUUUAUGAGUAUUUACUAGCCAUAUACCAAUCUUUGGAGUUUGUUAAGAAUACAAAAGCCCCAAAUCAUUCUAGCCUCUUACUGCUUUAUAUAAUAUUACCUGAGGUCAUAUAAGCAGUAUGUUUGAUAUUCAAGCAGUUUCCUCUGAAAUCCACCUUACUCUUUAUACAAGUCUGAACUGACUAAUUAACGCCUAAACGCUUAGCUUCAGUUAUAGCAAUUGUACAUCUUACAAAAUGUAAAGUUUAACAGAACAAAGAAACUCUGAUUGGCGGCUGUAGAUGAAUGUAGAAUAAGGCAGAAUACAUGACACAUAAUGUAAUUUUCCUUUUAUUUUUCAGCUUUUCGUUAAUCCAAAUUUUUGGAUAUCUUAAUAUGUUCCAUCAAGUUACCUUCAACAUGUUUGUAUGAUGCUAUUUUGCAUUGAUUGCAAACUGAAACAUCUUUGUUUCUUACAUCUACUUUAUGUUCACAGAUCAAGUUGCUGAGUUGUGUGUUUUUUCUUGCAUGUAUAGAUUCUUGACUUCGGUUUUGAUCGAUUAGGUGCUGAUCAGUCUCAGGUACUGCUACAUCACCUUUCAAUUCUUUACUCAGCUAUAUCAAAGUUAUUUUUGGUGUGAUCUGAUGUAAAAUGCAAUGCGAGGUUUAUCAAUUUGGAAGCUGCUGGUUUUUCUUACUGUCGUCAUAUUUUAUGUGAUUAUUCAGUUUUGCUUGCAAAGCUAUUUAUGUUGUAUAGCGUGAAUAGAUAGUAGCUUUAUUCUUGGAGAUCUGUUUGUCAUUGCAUUCAUCCCCCCUAGUUUUACUUAAUAAACUUUUGUGACAUUUCGUACAGACCAAAUGUUUCGUGUUGAUUUUUUGUGUGUCAAAAGUCAACUGUUCAUAUAAGCAGUUGAGAUUCUGAUUUGCACUUUAUAUAUAACUGAGGUAAAUACUGUGGGCUCAAAGCAUUGAAUGUCUUCAUUGAUCUCUUUAAAGAAUUUACAAGCUUUCUUUGCAAGUUCAAGCAGGCAAUGUUUGACAUCCCAAAAAUUCUGUGGUUUAGAAUAAGCUUUUUAUGUCAAUUUGAUUCAUUUCUUCAUGUUUAUUUUUGUGCAGCUUAUAGAUGUCUGACUUCAUUUAUGUUGUUUGCAAUAUUUAUCACUUCAUAUUUGAUUCCUGAAUUUCUUGAUUUUAGAUAUCAGCGUUGGUAAUAUUCAUGUAGUUGAUUUCAUGGCAGAACAGAUUGACCAUCCUGUUUUGAUCACUGAGUGUGCUUGCAAUCCUAUCCAGUCUCGUUGUAGAAUGGCAGAACUUCUUUUUGAGUCUUAUGGAGUUCCUUCAAUAGGUAUGCUUGCCAAUUGUUAGUUAACUGAAGCUUCUGCUUGUUUGCGCAAAUAUUUUAGUUAGACUGUGAAACAGGGAUGCAAGCCCUUAAUAUUAUUGUCAACUGCAUGUUUUAUCUUUUUAUGGAUGUAGCAUGAUUGACACACCAUGGUCACAGCAUAUUGUACUUGUAUUUCUCGUUUUAUAUGGUCUGAUGCCAUGAGUGCUUGGACUGUUGCUAUUUUAAUGUAUCACUUACUUUUUACUUUCCCUUUAGCAGCAUUUGGUGUCGAUGCCGCAUUCAGCUACAAGUACAACCAACAACUUGGAAUAUGUAAUAGUGAUGGUCUUGCAAUUUGCUCAGGAUUUAUGACUAGUCAUGCUAUUCCGGUAUGCUUCACUUGUUUUUAUUGAAGUUCAUAGUGAUUUUGUGGAUAAUUCCAAUUACAUGGAGCAUUGAGUACAGAAACAUAGCCAUCACAAAUCUCAACUAUGCGUCACCGCCACAAUUCUUUUGCUGUUCCAUUAAAGGUUAGGUUAGUUUAUUCUGAAGUUCAGUGCCAUACCAAGUCACUAUCUUGAUCUGGUGCCACUGAGACUACAAUUGGUAUUAAGUAUGAAAAGACCUAGAUAGAAUAGAUUAUAUUCUUCUGGAAGAAACAUGUUGUGCAUGUAGGGUACACCCAUCCUUAAUAAUUUCAUGAAUUUUGCCAUUAACUUUUUGUAGAUCAACACAAAUAUGCUUUGCCUAUGACCUAUUAAAGAAUUAGUUAUCUAUCUGUAUUUGCCGAAUUAUUCGUUGGAUAUGCACAACCUGUAGGCCUGUCCUACAAACCAGCCAAACACCUAAGCUUGAGCUUGGCAUCAUGGAUUCAGCCAAGUACAGCAUCAGGUAGUUCACAUGUUGCUCAUAGGUGGAUGCUGAAAAUUUUACUUUUAGUGGGCAACCUAUAAUUGACUUGUGAUAAAUAUUCUCAAACUCUACGGGGGCAAUACUUUAAUUUUGUAAAGGAGUAGUUUGAAGAAUUCCAAAUUUUCAAGGGGGGGAAAGGUAAUAUCUUGGAUAAGUAGGGUGGUGGUCCUCCCCUACACCCCUGCAACCAAAGGUCUGGGAUGGAUUGCUCGAGAUUAUUUGUGGUGCAAGGUUUGCAGAGUUUGGUGUUUGGCAUAUGUAGUGCCUUGAAUAUAAUAUUUUAGCCCAGGAUUGCUUAUAACCAGCUCAAGAUGCUUCUUUAAGGCUCAAGCUAGAAGAAGAUGAAUCACUGAGCUAUGAACCAAAUUGAGCAGCAUCCUUCUCACUGGGGACUAGGAAUGUUUGAUAGCUGAGCAAUGGUUUACUGUGGGGAAUUAUGAAGCCAGAAUAACAAAGUGAAACAUUAACACCUGCAUGUAAUACCAGUUAAUGUAUUCAGUCUCUGAUACUUAUCCUAGUAUUAUAUGAAGUACUGCACCUUAACAACUUGCAAUGGUCUACAAUGUAUAUGUGUAAGUUUGAAUUCUUAUCCAUUUUUCCUAUCACAGUUCAUAAAUGGAGAACCUGCUUACGAAGCAUGUUGCCGAACUAAUGUUGGUGGAUACCAUGUUACCGAUUAUCUGAAGCAGCUUCUUUCACUUAAAUAUCCCCAUCACAUGUAAGCUUGAGAAUGCCGAUCCCUCUGCAAAUGCAAUUGAAACUUUUCUUCAUUUGUUUUUUUAGUCUUGAUCGCUUAUUUUUUUCAAACAGUUCUAAGCUCACAUGGGAAAAAGUUGAAGACCUUAAGAUGGAACACUGUUACAUUGCACCAGAUUAUACAUCAGAAGUCCGAAUAUUUCAGGUAGUGUAGUUUGGUCUUUUUGACUUGUCUGCAACUACUCUGCUUUGCUUCUGCAAUCAUCUAAGCAAUUCUUGUAACAGAAAGGGGCUAAAGAAGCUGAAGAAAAGACCAGGUGCUGGCAGCUUCCUUGGACUCCUGCACCAGCGGAAGAACAACCUUCAGAAGAAGAGUUAGCUAGAAAGGCAGCUCUAAAGGAGAGACAGGGUCAAAGACUAAGGGAGAUGGCUGAAGCAAAGAGGUCCUCUCGAAUUAAUGAGCUUGAAAAUGACAUUAGAGGUUUGGAAUUCCUCUUAAAGCAGCUCAAGCAGGUUGAAGAGAAUAAUGUUCCUGCAUUUCUCAGAGAGACUGGCUAUGCCUCUAAACAGGAAAUAGAAUCUAAUCUGGCAAAGGCAAUACAAUCUUUACGCAAAGCAAAGGGUGAACAAGUUGAAACUGAGGAGAAGAUGGACGCUUCCAUGGCUGACAAGUAUAAUCUUGUCAAUGUGCCUGAUGAUGUGCUGACACCGGAGCAGGUGUGUGUUCCGAUUCCAUGUGUUCUGAUUCCAUGUGUUCUAACAGAUCUUUGUUUUAUAGUUUCUGUUGAUUUUGGUAUUUUCUACUGCACAGCAAUUCCUAGUUAAAUAAGAUACAAGACCAGUGAAUGGCUGCUAAAUUGGAACCACAGUAUGGUUUUCAUAUUCUGUUCGUAACUUUCAGAAAUUUAAAUUUUGCACUCUUGUUUCCAUGGCAGCUUAAAGAAAAAAGGAAGCAGUUGUUUCUCAAAUCCACAACUGAGGCCAGGCAACGAGCUAAACAGAAGCGGAUUGAAGAGGAAUUAGAAAGAGAAAAGCAAAUGAAAAUGGAGGAGGAAAAGCGCUUGUAUGUUUUUGAUUCGCAAUCUUAACUUGUCUAAUCAUUGCUUGAUGAUAGUGUAGAUAUGUAGUCUCUUUUACGUUGUAUUAUUAUUACAUUAUGCUUUGCUUCUGAAUGUAGAGAGAACCCAGAACGUUAUUUGGAGGAUUUACGUGCUAAAUACCGAGAGCUUUCUGAGAAAGUCGAGCAGCGAAAACGCUUGAAGACAAAUGGCAACAACACAAAUGGGAACCAAAAUGGUUCUGGAGGUGUGGGCCGUGGUGAAAGAUUGAAUGCUGCUCAAAGAGAAAGGAUGCGCCUCCUGACAACAGCUGCAUUUGAUCGAGGGAAGGGCGAGGACACUUUUGGUAUCAAAGAUGAAGAUUGGCAACUUUACAAGCUAAUGAGUAGAGAUAAUGAUGAUGAAGAAGAUGAGAAGUCAAAUGAGGAUGAAGCAGACCUUGCUCGCGUCUCUUCAAGACUGCGGGUUUGUGAUUUUUUUAGAUCUCACGUCCUUGGUGUGUUCUUACAGAUAUUUCUUUUAGCAAUUUCAUCCAUUUUUGCCUGUCAUAUUUGUACAGGAAAUAGAUCCGACAUUUUUUCCCAAAUCAGAGUCAGGAUCCUCGACUGCGGAGCCGCCACGAUUUCGUCCUCUAACUAAGGAAGACUUCCAGCUCAUUCUAGGAGUAGAAAGAUUCCGGUGCCCUGAGGUUCUGUUCCAGCCCAACUUAAUUGGGAUAGAUCAGUCAGGGUUGGAUGAGAUGGCUGGGGUAUCAAUAAGAAGGUUGCCGUGUAAGAACCAAGGGUUGGAAGAGAGAAUAACAAAAUCAAUCCUUAUGACUGGUGGGAGCUGUCAAUACCCGGGAAUGGCUGGGCGCUUGGAAGCUGGGAUUAGGAUGAUUAGGCCAUGUGGAACACCUAUAACAGUUGUCAGAGCAUCAGAUCCAAGUCUUGAUGCAUGGCGUGGAGCUUCUGUUUAUGCUGCUGCCAUGCAAUUCCCCAAUCAGACAUUUAGUAGGACGGAUUACUAUGAAAAGGGCGAAGAUUGGUUGCGGAGAUAUCAAUUCAACUACACACUUUGAUUGUUGUAGAUGAACUUUAUAUAUUGUUAGGGGCUUCCUUGGCUUGGUGCUAUUGAGAAGUGCUCAUAACUUGGGAAUUUGCUAUUUUACACCAUUCAUCUAUAUUUAUGGGUAUAGACUGAUGCAUCUGAAUUCUCCGAGCUGUCCGGCUCUGCUCAUUGAUGAACUAGUAGGGAACUUUUGUAGUUGUCCCGGAUAUAACAUGCGAAGUACUUCCGUAGCCUCGUGAUUAAUCUGCGAGGUUCUGCCUCCCUCUUGCACUUGUGUUCCAGAAGUUUACAAGCUGCCAAACCGGUAAAUUCAGGAAAUAAGGGAAAAAAAGGCCAAAAAAUGUGGCAGUUGUACGCACAUACAGUUCAAUCCCUACUGCUGAAAACUAAAGCGAUACCGCGCACCGAUUUCUUGCUUCUGUCGGUAGAGUUGCCUUUGUCUGAAGUUCCUUGAUUAACCUCUUACUUUGAUCGAUGGUUGAAGCCACUUUUUUUAGAGCUAAUUUAUUAUUAACUUUACAGUGCUAUUUUGAUAGAUCGUUGAAGUCACAUUGUUUAGAGUUAAUUUUAUAUACACUAACAAUAUAUAUUGUAUCAUGAUUGGAUGUGUAUCACAUUUAAACAUUGAAUUGCUAGUUAGAUGCAUGCCACGUUCAAAAGUCUAUUUUCAUCAAAAUUAUUUUUCCUUUCAAAUCCACUUUAAAGAAACAAGACCUUGAUAAUCUAUAUCUAUAUAAAUUUGAGAAGGGAUUUUUAGGAACAAGCCUCCACAAGCCUUCCCACUCUCAACUCUAUUUUCCUAGCAUUUCACAUUUAUCUUAUUUCAUAAAAAAUAUCAUGAGCACAUUACAUCCCCACGUUUCCCUCAAAUAAGGAGUUAACUUCAACUAACACUCCCACGUUCCUUCAAAUAAAAAUUUAACUUCCACUUACAUUAAAACUGUUUCCAUUUACCCGUGCGUCAGAUCUAUAUCUAUCUUAACUCCCACUAUCUCACUCCCACUAUCCCACUAUCUUAACUCAUAUUUUUGUAUUUAUUUUAAUACAUAAAAAAGUAGUGAGUUAUUACCCACCUUAUCACCAAUCAAUAUUCCCACUAUCCCACUAUCACCUUAUCACCAAUCAAUAUUCUCACUAUCUCACUCCCACUAUCCCACUAUCUUAAUUCAUCCUACAAUUACUCCUCCCUCUCAGUUUCUUAUUUGUUUUAGGUUCUCUAUUGAUUUUGUAAAUGUAUUGAUUUUGUUUCUUUUGUGAGCAGUAGUGGAAGAUAUUAUGUGCGGAGACUCUAGCAGAAAUCAACCUUCUUGCGGCCGACUUAAUUUUCCAAGUCAGUCCCCUCUGCUUUUUAAGUAUGUUUUGCUUUUCCUUUAUUUUUUGUCAUGAAUGAUAUUGCAUUGAUUUUCUGAUCAUCCAUUAUUUCUGAAAAUUUUUUACAAAAUCUUAUGAAUGGUUGUUUGCUUAUUGUUACACUGUAAAGUAAAGAUAAAAAGGUAUUGCUUGCUUUAUAUAAUUGCGGAUGGUAUAGGUUCAUGAUUGAGGGUUCUACUAUUUCUAACAUAAAUUGUAUAUUAUAAAAAUUUAUUUGUUUGUAUUACUGAAAUUUUUUAAUUAUUUUUUAUUGCACAUUUAUCACAUAAAAUAGGUGUUACGAUAGUUAUUUUCAUAAUUUUAUUCCAAAAAUGAUCGUGCAUGAAAUAAAAAAAAAGAUUUUUUGAUAAUUAAAAAAAAAUAAUUAAAAAUAGUUUAUAAUUGGAGAAAAAUAAUUCAGAUACUACUAAUAACUAAGGCACUAUACGCCCAUUAUUAAAAUUGGAUUAAUUUUUAAUUUCGUCAGAAAUCCUUUUGGCAAAAUUGCAUUAUAGCCUUUCUUUUCUUUAUCAACAAUGACAAUUACAACUACGUAAUUCAUCUAUCUAACAACAGCACAAUUCAACUCAUGGAAUAAAUAGUUCAUUGCUUAAAGUACUUAAAUGAAAGGUUAGAGUCAAGUCCUACUUAACACCUGCAAGUAAUCUAUAUCUAUAUAAAUUUGAGAAGGAAUUUUUAGCAACAAGCAUUCACAAACCUUCCCACUCUCAACUCUAUUUUUCUAGCAUUUUGCAUUUAAUUUAUUUCGUAAAAAAAAUCAUGGGUACGUUACACCCCCACGUUUCUCUCAAACAAGAAGUUAACUCCAACUAACACUCCCACGUUUUUCUCAGACAAGAAGUUAACUCCCACUAACACUCCUUACAUACCUUACUCCAACUAACACUCCUCACCCACCUUCCUACUACAUAUAGAUAUAGAUUUUCGCAGAUCAUCUCCAUGAAGGUAAGGUAUACUGGUUUCAAAAUAUAUAUGUAAUUCCGGCAUAUCUUAAAUAUCGGCUUGCACCACAUUAGUACCAAUUAUCAUUUGGAAACGAUACGAAUAUAGUGAAUAUCUAUAUCUAUAUGUAUUCAGGAAGGGAUUUUUAGCAGAAACCCUCUCCAUGCCUUCUAAACUUGUCAUACUUUUUUCUAGAUUUUUGUAUUUAUUUUAAUAAAUAAAAAAGUAGUGGGUUAUAACCCACCUUAUCACCAAUCAAUAUUCCCACUAUCCCACUAUCACCUUAUCACCAAUCAAUAUUCCCACUAUCUCACUCCCACUAUCCCACUAUCUUAACUCAUAUUUUUGUAUUUAUUUUAAUACAUAAAAAAGUAGUGGGUUAUAACCCACCUUAUCACCAAUCAAUAUUCCCACUAUCCCACUAUCACCUUAUCACCAAUCAAUAUUCCCACUAUCCCACUAUCUUAACUCAUCCUACAAUUACUCCUACAAAUUCUUCUUUUACUGAUCGACUUAAUUAACUUAUCGAGUUAAUUCCCUCACCUUCUCUCUCAGUUUCUUAUUUGUUUUGGGUUCUCUAUUGAUUUUGUAAAUUGAUUUUGUUUCUUUUGUGAGCAGUAGUGAAAGAUAUUAUGUGCAGAGACUCCACCAAAAAUCAACCUUCUUGCGGCCGGCUUAAUUUUACAGGUCAAUCCCCUCUGCCUUUUAAGUAUGUUUUGCUUUUGCUUUGUUUUUUGUCAUGAAUGAUAUUGCAUUGAUUUUCUGAUCAUACAUUAUUUCUGAAAAAUUUUUACAAAAUCUUAUGAACGGUUGUUUGCUUAUUGUUACACUGUAAAUCAAAGAUAAAAAGGUAUUGCUUGCUUAUAUAAUUGCGGAUGGUAUAGGUUCAUGAUUGAGGGUUCUACUAUUUCUAACAUAAAUUGUAUAUUAUAAAAAUUUAUUUGUUUGUAUUACUGAAAUUUUUUAAUUAUUUUUUAUUGCACAUUUAUCACAUAAAAUAGGUGUUACGAUAGUUAUUUUCAUAAUUUUAUUCCAAAAAUAAUGGUGCAUGAAAUAAAAAAAGAUUUUUUGAUAAUUAAAAAAAAUAAUUAAAAAUGGUUUAUAAUUGGAGAAAAACAAUUCAGAUACUACUAAUAACUAAGGCACUAUACGCCCAUUAUUAAAAUUGGAUUAAUUUUUAAUUUCGUCAGAAAUCCUUUUGGCAAAAUUGCAUUCUAGCCUUUCUUUUCUUUAUCAACAAUGACAAUUACAAUUACGUGAUUCAUCUAUCUAGCAACAGCACAAUUCAACUCAUGGAAUAAAUAGUUCAUUACUUAAAGUACUUAAACGAAAGGUUAGAGCCAAGUCCUACUUAACACCUGCAAGUAAUAUAUUACAAUUAGAAAAAAGAAAAUGAUUCAAGAGGAGCAAAAAACUCACCAAGCCCCUGACAUAUGUGCAAUCGUCAAGGCACUUUUGAGUAUUUAAAACUGCAUUCCUUAGUUCAGGUAACCACUUCUCUGUAAUUGUUUUCAUUUGAUUACAAUGCAAUUCUAUUAAAUUCUAUUGAUGCUAUUUCUAUAUUAAUUAUUAUAUUUUUUUUUGUUAACAGUUCUCAUACAAUGUAUCACUAUUUACACAUAAAAUAAAUACAUAAACUAUUGAUUUGCCUUUUAAUAUAUAUUUUAUUUCUAGAUCAAAGAAAUGAAAAAUCUAACUGUCCUCAAGAUCGCCAGGCAUCCACAUCACCAAUGAUUUUGCGUGAUCAUGGUAAAUAUACAGUUUCUUAUAUCGUCAUACUCAUAUUACAUACACAUUUUUUAGCUACACUAUCUUGCUAAAUCAACUAUAGAUACAAUACAAUACAAUUGUAUUACAAUUGUUCGAUUACAAUACAGUUGUAUUACAUUCUAUUGAUGUUAUUUAUAGACAACUUAGCAAUUUUAUAGAUUAACAAUUUAUUUUAUUUUAUAGAUUACCAAUUACUACAUGUACCAAAAUAUUUUUAUAUAGGGAUUACUUCAUUAACUAUGGGUGCUAAUAACAAUUCAAUUGGUGCAUAUUUUUCAUUUGAUUACAAUACAAUUGUAUUAAAUUCUAUUGAUGCUAUUCUAUAUUAACUAUUGUAUUUUUUUGUUAACAAUUCUCAUACAAUGAUAAAAAAAAUUCUUAUACAACCGAAAAAAGACGGUUCUUGAAUGAUAUAUACAUUCUAUUAUAUUUCAAACUAUUGUUAAACAGAUAUUAUAUUUUAAUUUGAUUGGUAAAAUUUUUUCACCUUUAUUUGUUCACCAUUUUAUUUUUUCCAAUAAUGUCAGCACCGUGCAUAGCACGGGUAUUCCCACUAGUAUAUUACAAUUAGAAAAAAGAAAAUGAUUCAAGAGGAGCAAAAAACUCACCAAGCCCCUGACAUAUGUGCAAUCGUCAAGGCACUUUUGAGCAUUUAAAACUGCAUUCCUUAGUUCAGGUAACCACUUCUCUGUAAUUGUUUUCAUUUGAUUACAAUGCAAUUCUAUUAAAUUCUAUUGAUGCUAUUUCUAUAUUAAUUAUUGUAUUUUUUUGGUUAACAAUUCUCAUACAAUGUAUCACUAUUUACACAUAAAAUAAAUACAUAAACUAUUGAUUUUUAAUUUAAUAUAUAUUUUAUUUCUAGAUCAAAGAAAUGAAAAAUCUAACUAUUCUCAAGAUCGCCAGGCAUCCACAUCACCAAUGAUUUUGCGUGAUCAUGGUAAAUAUACAGUUUCUUACAUUAUCAUACUCAUCUUACAUACACAUUUUUUGGCUGCACUAUCUUGCUAAAUCAACUAUAGAUACAAUACAAUACAAUUGUAUUACAUUCUAUUGAUGCUAUUUAUAGACAACUUAGCAAUUUAUUUUAUUUUAUAGAUUACCAAUUACUACAUGUACCAAAAUAUUUUUAUAUAGGGAUUACUUCAUUAACUAUGGGUGCUAAUAACAAUUCAAUUGGUGCGUAUUUUUCAUUUGAUUAUAACACAAUUGUAUUAAAUUCUAUUGAUGCUAUUCUAUAUUAACUAUUGUAUUUUUUUGUUAACAAUUCUCAUACAAUUAUAAAAAAAAUUCUCAUACAACUGAAAAAAGAUGGUUCUUGAAUGAUAUAUACAUUCUAUUAUAUUUCAAACUAUUGUUAAACAGAUAUUAUAUUUUAAUUUUAUUGGUAAAAUUUUUUCACCUUUAUUUGCUCACCAUUUUAUUUUUUUUCCAAUAAUGUCAACACCGUGCAUAGCACGGGUAUUCCCACUAGUAAUAAUAAUACGAGAUGUCAUAAUCUCUUUAUAAGGAUAAUAAUUUUACGACAGAUGAAUGUAGUGAUCUACAAAUUUCAUCUUGACGAACAAGAUACAGUGAACUCCAUGGCUGAUCACCUAAUCUCCCCGAAUUUGCUCGUUCAGAUUUAUAGAUUUUUUCCCCUCCAUGAAUGACUUCCUUGGUCCUUCCCAAAAGGGGUAAACUAAGAGCUGAUAUCUCCACUGAACUCUCCAGUAAAGAAUAACAACAUCAGCCCGGUCCACGAACGGCUACUUUUUCGCAAACCAACCCAAAAAAUAAAUCAGAUAAUCAAAGAGUUAAGGCUCCUCCGCCCAUAUGACGAAAAGUUCCACAAGGCUUCCCCGGCACAAAUGACCGUUAGAACAUGACCAAUCUUCUUCAAAUCCCUAAACGCCCUUUACCUUUCCUUGCACAGAAAAAUACGAAAAAAAAAAACUUCUUAAAAAACUAACCGUUAAGCUCCCCUCCCACCAGCUCAGUCCACUCCAUUUCCAUUCCUACACUGCCCACCCUUCCCUGCUGACAUUCUUUUCCUCCCGACUAAAACUCUUGAAAAAGCCCUCUCUUAAACUCUCUUCUCAAACAGAGAGGGCCUCUUUCAAAUUAUUCUUUAGAAGGUGAAAGAAAACAGCAGAAGUUACAGAUCAACAAAGGGAAAAAGUUGAACUCAGAAACAGAAAAAUGGAUUCAACUCAAAGAAGAAAAAGUGGGAUUAACCUUCCAGCUACAAUGUCUGAGACCUCUCUUCGGCUGGAGGCCUUCUCAUCCGCCUCCCCGGCUCGAUCAGUAUCGAAUUUGCCAUCACCUAUGACAAUGUCACCAAGAACUAUAUCCAAUCUUUCAUCCCCUUCAUCAAAAUCUACGAGUUGCAGUGACAGGUUUAUUCCUUGUAGAUCAUCAUCGAGGUUGCACACGUUUGGGCUGAUAGAGAAAGCGUCGCCAGUGAAGGAGGGAGGAGGAGGAGGCAAUGAGGCUUAUUCGAGGUUGCUGAAAUCUGAGCUUUUUGGGACUGAUUUUGGUUGUUUUUCUUCUCCUGCAGGUAAGGGGUCACCAUUGAGUCCUAACAAGAAUAUGCUGCGGUUCAAGACUGAGGUUUCUGGGCCUAAUUCUCCUUAUUCGCCUUCUGUCCUGGGGCAGGACAGUGGGCUUUCCGCUGAGGUUUCAACCCCUCCUAAACCGCCUCGAAAGGUUCCCAAGACACCCCACAAGGUAUACGACUUACUUUAGCCUUCAAUUUUGAUUGUUAAAAAUUGUCAAUUUUGCUGACCCCUAACAAUACUAACAUAAAUACGUGAAAAUCCAGCGAUAAAUUGACAAAAAAGGAUUGAGAAACGUUAGCGUGGAAUUUUUAGAUUUUGUAUGUAUUAAGUAAUUGGGGAAGUGAGCAAAAAGGGUGAAGCAAAGUGCAUAGUGAUUGUUAAUCGACCAUGUGAUUGUUUGCCUAGAUACCUGGGGGACCCUCCUUUAAUCUACUCCUGAGCACCAUUAGGCAAAAUUGUACUAAUUGAUUAUAGCGGCCUUUGGUUUGGUACAGAAUUUCAAUGCUUUUUCAUGUUCAUAAUACUGUCUGGAAAAAAAGAAAUUGCAGCUUAGCAAUAGUUUGAUGGUCCAGAGAAUUUUCUCUGCUUUGUUACGCCAUUUUGGUUUGAUGUCUUAUGGAGGACUGCCCUUCUGGUGUCUGUAGUUAAGCGUUUGGUUUAUUUAAAGAAAAGCUUUUGCCCUUAUUCAUUGAACUUGAAGCAAAGAGUGAUAGAGUAUUAUUCAAUCAUUAAGGCCUCUACGACUGCAGGUUCUUGAUGCGCCAGCACUUCAAGAUGACUUCUAUCUGAACCUAGUUGAUUGGUCAUCUCAAAAUGUCCUUGCAGUUGGCUUAGGAACUUGUGUCUAUUUAUGGAGUGCCUCAAACAGUAAGGUGAGUUGAUGGUUAAAAGAUCUUAAUCUUCUUUGUUUCAUCAGGGUGAAGUAUGUUAUUAUAAUUUGCUGCAAACAAGAAAGUAUUUAUCAAAAGCAGCAGUUACUGAUUUUCCUCUCAACUCCAUAUUUCUAUUCCCUUCUAAACCAUUUUAGGUAACAAAGCUGUGCGACUUAGGACCUAAUGAUGGUGUCUGCUCAGUCCAAUGGACCCGAGAGGGUUCCUACAUUUCAAUUGGCACAAAUCUUGGUCAAGUUCAGGUAUAAUGUUUUUUCUUUCUUUUAACAUAUUAGGGGAGGGGUAGUACAUCGUGCGCACCUUUUGAUGUCUCGGAUAUUAUUUGAAUUUGGAAGCGACUGAGCAUAGUGCUAUCCUCAGGUUUGGGAUGGAACUCAGUGCAAAAGGGUCAGAACCCUGCCUGGGCAUCAAACAAGAACUGGAGUCCUAGCGUGGAGUUCACGCAUAUUAUCUUCAGGAAGCAGAGAUCGGAACAUACUACAACAUGAUCUCCGAGUACCGAAUGAUUUUAUAAGCAAACUUUCUGGCCACAAGUCUGAGGUAACAGACAGCCAUAUUGUCAUUUGCCUGUAGAAACUCAAAUCUAACCAAUGAGUACUUCAAGGGAAUGUCAAGAUAGCUAACAUUUACUAAUGUCCCCCGACUCAGGUAUGUGGUCUUAAAUGGUCUCAUGAUGAUAGGGAACUCGCAUCUGGAGGAAAUGACAAUCAGGUAGGCAAGCUGAAUGUUCUCUUCACAUUGACAGAAUUAACUAAGCAAUGCUGUAAUACUCUUCUUUUAUAAGUGACGUGCAGCUUUUGGUCUGGAAUCAGCACUCCCAACAGCCAAUUUUGAGACUCACAGAGCACACUGCUGCUGUAAAGGCGAUUACCUGGUCUCCUCACCAGAGUGGGCUCCUCGCUUCUGGUGGAGGAACUGCUGAUAGGUGCAUUCGAUUCUGGAAUACUACCAAUGGCAAUCAAUUAAAUAGUGUGGAUACAGGAAGCCAGGUUUGUGGUAAAAUUUUUUUUUAAUAGCCAAGAGAAUUCUUGAUUGCUUAGAAUGGUUACGCUACCACAUUCUAUGCAGCAUAUCUUGAAUUUCCAGAGGGAUUUUGUGAAGAGGGUUUAUGCUUUUCUGAUGCGUUCCGUUCCAUACAUACCUGUAGGUAUGCAAUCUAGCAUGGAGUAAGAAUGUGAAUGAACUAGUCAGCACUCAUGGGUAUUCGCAGAAUCAAAUUAUGGUAUGGAAGUAUCCAUCAAUGGCAAAGGUAGUAGACUUCCUGGGCCAAUUUUGAACAAUCAAUAUUCUUUGAUUUUGAAGGAAACCACCCUGAAUAUGUUAUCCAAGUUCCAUAAAUUGUUUUUCUGCAUUGACUUCGACAGGUUGCAACUUUAACUGGCCACAGUUUGCGGGUGCUCUAUCUUGCUUUAUCACCUGAUGGCCAGGUACUGCAGCAUGAAACAGAAGGUCUUGUUGAGAAUAUAUUUCUCUUAUGCAAAGUAAACAAAUGAAUACCACAAUCUUUUUUUCCCCACAGACAAUCGUGACUGGAGCAGGUGACGAGACAUUACGGUUCUGGAAUGUGUUCCCAUCUAUGAAAACACCUGUAAGUGUACCAUGUAGCCGUAGAAUAGAAUUUUAUGAUCAAGAUAUGCUAUCAUGCAAGAACUUCCUCUUAUCAUGCCUUUCCAAAUAAGGCGCAUGCAUCUAACUAGUAAUCUUUCAGGCACAGGUGAAGGAUACGGGGCUUUGGUCUUUGGGAAGAACUCAUAUUCGGUGACAAUUUAGAAUAAUUGUUCAGGGUGCAAGCUGCUGGGCAAAAGAUUUUAGCAAGCUGUCCAUAUGUUACGCUUUUUCACCAACAGAUUUAUGAUUGAAAAGUUUGGCAAGAAAAAUGGAAUUCUUCUGAAAUUUUUUGAGGCUAACAAUUUUUUUUUUUUUUCAAUUCAUACUAUUAAUUCGUCUGAUCUUGCAAUUUUGCAAAAGAAAAAUGUAAAAGCAUAGACCUAGAAGAUACUAUUAAUGAACUGAUUAGUCCGCAUAAUGAGCGGUACAAAAUAUGAGGGAGAAUUUCUCCAGAUAAUAGAUAUUAUCUAUCGAACUAGCAUACUUUGCCAUCAUCACAUGGUCUGUAAUAUUUUAACAAUCCCUAGGCACCUAACUAGUUUCCCAACUGGAAAAAUGUUGCAAUGCAUUUGCCACAUCAGCAACUAGAAUUCCUAUUUAUAUCUGAGUUUUAUCAUCAUCAUCAUCAUCAUCAUCAAUCAUUCAGACGGGAUGUUGGGGGUGGACAUUUUCUGAUACAAUCCAGUAUGCAUGUUGGAUGAAUAUUUCCGUCCCCGUUACAUUUGUUAGCACACCCGGCGGCGCAGUCCUCAUAGACGCCCUCCGUACCGAUUUUUUCUCUAGGAAUUGGCGGGUCUGCUAUUGCCCCCGCCGCCACCACCAUCCCAAUUAUCAUCAGACCAAGAAAACUCGUCUUUCCCGCUUCCAUUGGCUGCAUUUCUGUCUUCGUAAGCUGCAAAAAGAACAGGACACAUUUUCUAACAUAACUCGGGAGACAUUUUAUACUUGAAAACAUUGAACAACUUGCUUGUAAUUGAAUGUCUUUUGCAUGUAAAUCGCUUGCUCCCACGACCGGAUCCCUAGCAAUUCAAACAGUGGCACAGCUGGGAUCUAGGUUCAGGGAUUAAUUUUCGACGUCACGUCAAAUGUAGUUACGAUCAACAUUUUACAAUUUUCCCUUAUGUUAAUUAAUUAUAUUUUGAAGUCUAAAUUGUGCUAUAAUAUAGCGAUAGUUUAGAAACGUAAUAGCAGUCUCGAACUUCUAAUUUUACAUCAAUAUCUCUAAUCUUAAUUAGAUCCAACGUUCUUUCAAAGUGUAAGAAUUAAGAAUUUUUUAUAUUAUUGAACGGACAAUAUAGAUAAGAAAAAGACUUGUCAAAAUUUUAAAGGAGCAAUGUCGACAAGAAAAAGAAUUUUAAAAAUUUUUGAAUGUGAAAAUAGGGAAUAGCUUAAAAAAUUUCCAGAGUUUCCGAACUUUGAAAAAAAAAAAAAAAACUCUGUCAAAGUUGAGAGGGUACACUGCCGAUCCUCAAUUACAAUUUUUUUUUUAAGAAAAGAAAUCUCACUUAUCACGUGAUGGUAGAAAAAAUUAAAUAAAUAGGACACUUGGCAUAAAUAUAAAAGUGGCACUGAAUUGCCACUGGAAAAGUGGCACUGAGAAUCCCGUGUGCCAAAAUUCCACACAUUAUCAAGUGAUGAUGUAACCAACACCCCAAAUGUUGCUGGCCACCACUAAGUCCUCAAGGUUUGGUGGGAUGGAAGGUCAAGCAUUCAACUCUUGACUCUCAACAAUUGUCACAAUAUGUGAUCUUUUUAUGCAUUCGUCUGAUCCGACAGUGAUUUAAAUCUCCAUCAAUCCUUCGUAGACAAGCGACAAUGCAUUAAACUUGCAAUGUAAGGGUAUACUGAUUAGGCCUAGUACUUGUGUAACACAAAAAUAGUUUUCCACCACGUCCGUUUACCAUUAAAAUUUCUAAUACAUGAAUAAAUAUUGAGAAUGUCCAAAGAACACAUCUUGGCUUUGCACAUAUAAAAACGGGAGGUGCAAUUGCCCUGCCUCCUUCAUCAAUUGAAAAGCAUCCCAGAUGGCAGAGCAGUGGAGCGUGGAGGGCAAGUCUGAACACACUCGUCUACACAUGUUUGGUUGAGAAAUCCUCUAGAAGUACAGGUAACAUAACAUUUGUAGCGGCAGCACUGAUUUGGUGUAUCUGGAACGCAAUGCAUGAGACAAUUGUUUGCACAGGUUUCGUUGAUGAAUCCCCCACGAGCACAGUUCACAUCGCAUUUGUAUCGGCAGCAUUCAUCGAGCGGCACAUUCUCAACUGUUGAUGAUUCUUUGCCCAUCACUGACUGUGCUAUUAUUGCCACUGUCAACAGUGUCAUGAGUUCUACAGCAAUCUUCCCUGCCUCCAUUUUAUCUACUGCUAGUUCUCUUCUUUGUGACUCGCUAAAGAUAAUAACAUUUGAUAACAUAUCUUAGCACUUAAUUCAUACUCUAUAAUAAAGAAAAGGGUUCAAGAAGUUAAUUCCAAGAUUUGGGCAUUUAAUUGAGUAGCUUUGAAUGGCAUCAAAUCAAUUACACUUCCUAUGAGCAGUGUACAAAUACCUUGUAUACAAUAUAGUACAAGGCAACCUUGUGUAUGUAUUUCAGGCAGUAAAUCUUGUUAAUAAGUUGGCCAACAAUGGCGGAACCAAACUAUUGGUCAGUGGGGACACUAGCGGUACUUAUUUGAGUCUAAAUCGGUUCUCAAAAAACUGAGGAAAGAUUGUAAAUGUAUUUCUUUUUCACAUUAUUUCACAUUCCUUCUUUACCUGAUUGUUAAUGCCUUUUACGACAGGGAUUAAUGCUAAUUUGAUUUUGUUUCUAUUUGAAGAUUUUGUGGGUGUUAGUUCCUGUAGAGUAAUUAACAAAAUUAAAUUGGGGGAGAGGGGUGUUUGGGGACAACAGCCUACUUUCAACAACGCUACUGCUGGCUAACCAUUUCUACGAAAUUAAAAGCCAGACAUGCUAAUCUUUUCUAGUAAUGAUGCUUUGACCUUUCUGUAUUUUGUUUUGGCAUUUCACAAAAAGGACAUAGUUAAAGUUAAUCAAAUGAAAAUCCAUGUCCUUAAGAUCCAUUGCAGUUGAAAAGCACAUUAAUCAGGUAGUCUCCCCUUUUUCCCUUACCUCUAGUAAUGAAUUUCUUUUCAUGAACAUUAACCUCUUUAACAAAUGUAAAAAAAAUUUUGGCAGCUAUACCACAAUGGAUAGGGUAAAAGUUGGAACAAAAGCUUAACUUCAGAUCAUAGUUCUCUCUUCAUAUCCGCAUUAAAUUUCUGACAUGACGUUAUGUCUUGUACCUGAAAAAUUAACCAACGGCCAUUUUGAAUUAUUGACCAUCACAAAUGCUUUUAAGUGUUUUUGUGAGAUGGGACGUCAAGAAUUUGAUCAUUACCUCUCAUUACUUGUCACUAAAAUAUGACUUCUCUAAAUCCAAACGAGUAUAUAAAGUAUCCGUCUGAUUCGAUAGUAAUUCAGUUCUCGUCGUUCCCCCAUGACUCAAUUGAGCCCUCACUUAGACAGAUCAGUUUAAUUGUAGGAAUAGGAAUAAUAUAGAAAGCAUGAAUUGAUUAAAGAAAAAAAAAUGAAAAAUCUUUAUCCAGACCCAAUCUUGUGGAUCAUGUCUCACAAAAAUAUGGUCUCACUGUCGAACCCUUUAGUGGCCUAUAAACUAUACAAGUUUUGUUUUAAUCAAUUAGCAACAUUUAUUCUAUCCAUCUAAAUAAAAUGGGUGUUUUGAUAUCGUUCUUUGAAUUCUUUUAACGGUAGGGUGCAAGAUUUGAACCCCAACUUACAACUCAAAAAGCGAUUUUAAAUCUUUUUGGUGUCCGUAAAAUCAAAGAUAACAAAAUGUGCCAAACUUGCUUUCCCCCAAGAAAAAUGAAAAAAAAAAUGUUAAACUUCAGUUAUCAACGAUCUUAAUCCUUGGAACAUUGCGUUUUGAGUUGAUUUGCAAUUUUUUUUUUUUUUACAAAAAUUAAAGGGAAGAAACUAAGGCUUUAUUUAUCAUAUGAUCACUAAUACAAGAGACCGAAAUUUCAAACAGCACAAAAGCUUUUCCGUAAAGCUUAUUUUCCGAAAGAAAAAACUAGCCAGACGGCUUUGCAUGAGAUGCCGUUGCGAUGGAUUCUGGAGGACACUUCUUGAGACAAUUCUCCACACAUUGUUCAUUGAUAAACCCACCAAAAUCACAGGCAACAUCGCAUCGGAAACGGCACUCGGAGCUUGGCGACUCCUUGCCGAUGGGUUCGCCGUCCACUGCUGAGCUUGCCAUUGCCAGCGUCAGUAGUAUCGUCAGACCUACGCUUACCGUUCUUGCCUCCAUUUGAUGUAGCUCUCUUUUUACUAGUAUUUGCCUAACUUGAGACAUCUGACAGUGAUAUGAUGACCACGAGGUAUUUUAUACUUUCAACACAAGAUGCAAGAAGUUAAUUCAAAGAUUUGAGCAAUGUAAAUUGAAUAAUUUUGGAUAAUGUCAAAUUUAAUGGCGUCUAAUUUUAUGAGUAGAUUCUGACGCGUGAUAUCAGUCUUUACGUCUAUAUUUUAUCCUAUCCUAACAAUAAUAUAAAGAUGCAAAUCGGUUGGAUGAACAGUGAAUUUCGUCCCCUAUCAACACCAUUGGUGUGUGGAUUCUUUGGUCAUUUCACAUGGAUUUUAUGCUGAUGGGUUUCCACGGUUGCACAUAUUUUUGGCUGCAAUUCGUUGAUACCUUUUUCAUGCUACCCUUGGAUGUCACUUUUACCCCUGAUGGAGUAAUUAUCCAAAAGAAAUAGAGUUGGCUUUAUGAUCUUUUGGUUCGGUCCAACUCUUUCAGACACCUGCUGUAUCAUGACAUGGCUAGGCUUCCAAUUUUGCGGUGCGGCUAAUUUAAACCACUUGGCACAUCUCUUUAUGUUCCGAUGAAUAGAUUAUUUCUGCACAAUUCUGCUUCCAAGAUAUCAGUACAGUGACCUCUGCCUCAAUCUCUGCUCCCACUUCAGCUCAAGCUAACUGAGCUCUCAAAGAAAAUAGAGAGCCAACUAAAACAACACAAAGCGAAAGGAACCUGCAAGCAGCAAAAAAUCCACUAAAGCAUGCAAAACUAGAAUAAAUGCCCUCUUCAUCCCCAGCUUCAAAAGCCUCCAACUGUUGUUAUCAGCCUUUGCAGACCAAAGAAUAAAAGCAGCAGAGGCUCCACUCUUUUGUCAAGGCUAUAUUUUGGGUACAUGUCAAAUAUGGCACAUGGUUUAAAGCUCAGAACAACUGGAAGGGUGAAAAUAAAACUAAAACCGUCCCGUUUGCACUAAAUCCACAUAUCAUCUACAACGUUGCCUCGAGCUCUUCCAGGUAGGAUCGAAUACACUAUUGCCAACAAUUUGGCAUACGCUAAUUUGGAAUACAAGCAAUUUGUAAUACAAACAAUUUGGCAACAAUUUGGAAUACAGAAUUUCUGCAUUCUGUUCACAUUUGUAUUCAUGCUCUAUUAAAUCCAGAAGAAACAAGCAACGUCAAACAUCAUUUUUUCAAAGACAAUAAUCCUUGGCAAAUCAAGUAUAUUUCUCUGGAGCAUGACCUCGUAGCUUUAGGUCUCAACCGUGCUGCCUUUUUGAAAAGGGGUUUGCAGAUGUGACUAAAAUCUGCAAAGCAAAUGAUAGUACUUCAUAAGUCUAUUACACGCAAAUUACUUCAGACCAAUAAGAAUAAACUGCUCUGAGUAACAGGAAAGCAACCUUUAACAUCUUCACUCUCCAAAAGCUUUACAACAAGGUGGCCUCCAGGCAGCAGAAUCCCACGAUGCUCUGGAUCAGAACCAGAGACAUCUGAUUGUUCCUUUUGUUCAAUACUAUCAUCAGCCUGCACCAAGCCAGCCUCCCCAACAGCCAAUUCAAGUGUUCGCAUGCCCAAUUCUGCAGACAAAGCUGCAUCCCUAGCUCUGAUCCCAGAAACCAGCGGACACAUAUCAGACAGAAUGACUGAGAACCCUUUUUGCUGCAAAAAAUUGGAACCAAUUAAGGACCAGCUAAGGAGUUUGCCUCCAGAAAGCAUAGAGCUGACUCACAGAUAUCAUCACAAAUGCAACUAUGCCAUGAUGUCACAUAGAGCUGCAGAAUACAAGGACAUCUACAAUGCCGAGAAAGAGAAAAUAUGUGCAUGUGCAAAAUAAGGAGAAAAUUUCCCUUUUUCUACAAACAUAAUUAUUAUUGCAAUGCCAGAAGGUUCCGGGCCCCAAAUCAAAUUAGUAACAUAAUUCUUGGCAUGAUAUAAGUAGCAUAUUUCUUCAGCAAUCACUACAAGUAUUUACUCUCGAGUCCAUAUAGUAAAAGCAAAGAAAACAGACGUCUAGAUUGCAACUAGGAAGACGCAUUUCUUGCCCAAUAACUCCCCAAUUCACUGCAAUGUUGUUAUCAACUCUGUCCAAAUAUUGGGUACUCCAUCUAUUAUCAUGGAAUCCGUUGAGAGAAGGCCAAAACUCAGCUAACUCUAGAGAGGGAGGAUCAUCAUAGAUUCUUAGUAUAUACUCUGUUCUUCUUAAUCAGUGACCAAGAUGACCAAUGCACUUUCUAACUCAAGAAAAGAAUCAAAUAAAUUUUCUAUUUCAGUUAACCACAAUAUAUCAGAAGUCAGAACUGCAAACUGCAAACAUGAAACUCAAUUUUUGACAAUACCUUGGGGGAGAGAGCCCUAAUUUGAUCUUUGGGUAAGCUCAUUACAUCAGCACAAACAGUCUGAACCCUUGCAUCACAAUGCAUUGACGGAACCUUCACCUUCUGCUCUGCACCACAGCCAUAACUCUCAUUAAGUCACAAUCUCUCAUUACCCCGCCAAGCUUAACGAAACUACCAGCAUACAUUCACAAAAUAAGUUUCACAAAUACACCAAGAUAUAAUAAAGAUUGGAACUUGACAGUAACCUUAAGAUCGAUCCCCACAACAGCCCCGCCUUUCUGUAAUGGUCCCAAGCUCUGGCAUGCCACCUGCAUCGCAAUUACAGAUAAAUAAUCCUAGAAGCCCACUUUUUUCUUCAUCAAUCCGAAAAAACACCAACUUUAGAUGAAAAGAAAGAUCAAACUAUUAAAAAAAGAAAAACGGUAGAACCUGAAGCCAAGCACCAGGAGCACAGCCCAGGUCAAGAACAGAAGAACCAGGCGUUAUCAAUUUGUACUGUUUCUGCAUUUGCAGCAACUGCCCUUCCCAUCACAGAAUUUGUAGUUUUUCAAAAUGUCAGAGCAUGACCAAAUCCAACUACGAAAUGGGUUUUUCUCGUAAUGUGUUUAAGAUUAUAAAUUUCAUAUUCAAUUUGUUCUGGUAGCAUUUCAUAUCCAGUUUUAUGAUUUCUUCAUUUUUAGCUCUUUUGUGGGGAAAAAAAUUCAACAAAAUUUACACAAGUGGGGAAGGAGAAAAAAUUGAACUGUACCUUGAAGGCAGAGCGAGCGACAUAGCCAAGGCGUUGAGCUUCUCUGUAGAAGAAAUCGGGCGAUCCUGCUGCUCCACUCAUGGUUCCUCUCCUUUUCUGCUUUUGCUGCUACAUCCUUCUUGGGGGUUUAAAAUAGGGCUUAUGGAAAUUAUUUACGUUUUGAAACUUGAAAGUCUGGGGUGGGGCUGCUAGUCGAUGUUGGAUCGGGUCCGAAGAAAAAGUAGAGCUGUAAACGAACCGAAUCGAACCGAGUAUCUCAUGUUUGAGCUUUGUUCGUUAAGCAGUUCGAACAACGUUCGUGUUCGUUCGUUAAUUUUCGAACUCCAAACAUAUGUUCGUGUUCGGCUCGUUAAGCAAAAUUCGUGUUCGAGUUCGAGUUCGUGUUCGACUCGUUUAACAUAAAUGAGCCGUUCGCGAACAUGCUCGAAAUGCUCGAAUCCAAAUUAUUUUAACCCUUAAAUAUGUCAUGCAAAUUAUUAACCAUUCUAAAAAACAAUUAAAGCACUAAGUGACUAAAUUCUAUUAUUCAUUAACUAUAUAACUAACAUUAACAUAAAAAUAACAAAUAAAACAAAGCAAUUUGCCCUCCAAAUAUAAAAGUCCAGCCAUAAAAUUAACCCUAAAAUUUAUCAAAUGAUAAUUAUGUCCAUGUUCGCGAACGUUCGUUAAAACUCACGAACAUAUUCGUGUUCGCGAACGUUCGUUUAGUAUGUUCGCAAACGUUCGUUAAAACUCGCGAACAUGCUCGUGUUCGCUCGAUUAUUAAUCGAACAAAAAAAUUCGUUCGAACUCGGUUCGUUUAAGAUUUCGAACGAGCCUUUCACGAACACGAACGAGCCGAAACGAACCGAGCUACCGAACAGCUCGGUUCGUUUAACAGCUCUAAGAAAAAGUAACACCUGCUACUUCAAACUCCGCAGAAAUUGGAGUUGCUCGACUCCAAUUGGAAUAAAUUAUCACAUUUUACCAACUUGUCUUUUUGGUACAAAAAACAGGCUCUAAGAUUAAAUUGAAUUGUAUUAAGAUGCAUCUUCCUUAGUAUUAUUCUGCAUGCUAUAUUAGCCUUAAAUGGGAUGUAAAUAAAAGAUCGAUGGGCUACCUAUGCUAUUAGGUGCUUAAAAUGAAAAAAAAAAAAAGAAAAAAGACAAACGCUAUUUCUGUAUUCAAGGAUGGAGGAGCCACCUUCUACUCAGAGCGAGCAAUUGCACUCCCUUAAUGUUGCAAAUUUUAAAAAAUAGACUUUACAAAUUUUUAGGUUAUUUUCAUAAUUGCACCCCCUCAAUUUUUACAUUUCCCCCUCACCCACCGUCACAUUAUUACUUCCCGAAGCAACCACCGCAUCAUCUAUCCUAUAUACUACAUUGCCUCAAAGCUAUUAAAUAACAAUUAAUAACAAAAUUUUGUUAUUAAGGACACAUAAUCUCAAAUCGAAUAAAAAAUUUUUUGUUUUUGACAUAAUGGCAACAUCAUUAUAAGCGUACAAUUUUGUCUCUAUUGACUAUAGGUCAAUAGACUCCAUCAUUGUUUAUAUCUCAAGAUUUUCUUGGAAAAUGGCUCUAGUUUGUUAAGAGCUGCUAGAAACAUACACGCUUCAAUUAACAUAUAUUAUGACCCAUCUUAGGUCAGUGUUAAUACAAAAUUUAGGACAAAGCAUAGCAAGGUUGACAGAGUAGAUCCAUCCCAUAUCGGUUGAUCGUGGGGUAUUUACUUUGGGUUUAAGGUCCAUAGGAGCACCUUCUUGUCACCAAUUGACUCGGUGGGUGUUUCUUGUAGGUACCCCUUAGAUUGCUUUCGGACCGGUUUGCUGAUGCUUGCUGCGUGUCAAAUCAUUGUUUGUGUGUGUGUUUUAUUUCGUUGCGGAAAAAAAAAAGAAAAAGGCAGAGUAGAUGGCAAGUAAGUUCCUUCCUGCGCGCAGUGCCCAAAAUUGAAAAGAUCGGAUCGGACCAUUUGCAUGCAUGCAUGACUUGCUGAGAUCUUGCGGGGAGGGACUCAAACAAUUCUCUAGUUAUGGCAGGUAAAAAUCCUUCGUCCUGCCAUUAUGUUAUGGCAGGUAGCCUCUAUCGUGGCUAGUCAAUGGGCAAACCAUGAUGAAUCUUGAAAACCGGCUAACUCAACCAUAACUAGGGAUAGGGGAAGGUUCCUGGGAACUCGGGUGUUUUUGAGUAGGGAUGAUAUCUGCAUUGCAUGUUCUCCAUCACCAAUAAUAUUUACAAUGUCGCUGAUGUCUUCAAUGUUACGUUUGAGAGGGUUUUUUUUUUUAAUUCAUUUUUUAACUGAAAUCACGGAUUUUGAAUUAAUCAUUUAGAAGCUUGAAUACUAUAUAAUUUGCACGACAUCUUUACUUCGGCAUAUCUUAAGCUUUUUCUCUCUUUUUUUUUAAAUUAAUAUCCACGGAUCAAGUGUUGGAUGGCUACUUACUAUCAUUUAAAGAAAGAAAAAAAUAAAACAAUUGCUGGAUAGCUGAAUAGCUAGUAAAAGUUGUUUAAUUAAUUAGGUAAUCUAUGUCAACACGCAUGUAUGAUCACGAAGUCUAUAAACUUCUAAUAUUUUAGAUAUAGCAUUCCUUUAUUAUUAAUUUUGUUUUUAGCCUAGUGGAUGAAUAGGGCUGUCAACGGGGCGGGUCCGGGCCGGAAUUCAUUAUUCCGGACCCGGACCCGAAUUACUAUGCCGGAUCCGGAUCCGACCCGUUUAUCCGACGGGUCUUUUAUUCUAUGUUCCGGACCCGGAUCCGGCGGGUCCCGGAUCCGAAUCCGAGUCUACCCGAACAAAUUUACCAAAAUUUAUAAUUUCUAAUAAAAAUGAGAAAAAAAUAUAUUUGUAAACUAAUUUCUAACUAAUGCAAAGAAAAAACCAAAUAAGAAAAGAAAUCAAAUUAACUUUAUUAAAAUACAUCACCCUAAUCAAAUUAUAUUAAUAAAUAUAUAUUUUUUAAAUUAUUAAUUCAUUUAUAUCCGGAUCCGGGUCUAAUACGGGUCGAAAUACUAUAUUCCGUAUCCGACCUGUUUUUUUGUUUGACAAAACGGAUCCGGAUCCGGGAAACGGAAUUAAAUCCCUACCCAUAACCGCAAUAAUUUCACGGAUCCGGUCCGGAUCCGGAUCUAGACCCGACCCGUUGACAGGCCUAUGGAUGAACAUCUAAUUAGUGACGCACAUUAAAAACAUAUUAUUGUGUUGAGAAGGCCUUAAAAAAAGACACAAAUGCUAAAUCACACGCGUUCAUACAAGAAAGUUGGGGAACGUCUUUUGGGUCUCAUGAGAAUGGUGCGCACUGACGUUAAUAAAACAAUUAAAUUAAUGGUUCCAGAAGUUGGUCAAACGAGAUGUAUAGAUUGGCAAAUAAAAUACUCACUCCACAACUUUCAGAUGUCUCACUGACCACUGGUAUUGUGACUGUGAGUCUCCCCCGACGUUACCAUUGUACUGCAGCAUUGUUGCCAGAAAGUAUGCAGUCCAACACCACUAAUAAUCAUUUGGGGCCAUUAAGAGAGUUUUAAAAUUUUAUUUGGGUGUAUGUCAAGCGAUCAAAUCCCUUGAUUUAUAUGCUAAAUAUCCCAAAUUUCCUGAAAAUAUUUCAUCAGCGGAUACGUAGGUAUCCAUUUAGGCCGGUAGUAAUCAGUCCCCUCCGAGUUCCUCGCUUGACCCCUUUGAAUUUCCCUUCCCCUGGUAUUACUAGAGUACGAGCAAAUGUAAAACAGAAUCUAUUGUGUCCGAUUAAAAAAAAAAAAAACCUAAAACAAUGAAGCAUUGACACGUUUUAACAGUCAAAAUGGAGCCUUUCAAAGAUGGCUAGUACUAGUAGCAUUGUUUAUGUUUCCUGGAUUGUGAGAUGAGUAACGCGUCUCCGCGUUUAGCAAGAAUUCUAAUGGGUGGUCUGCCAAGUCUAUCUAUUGGAGCGUUAUCCGCAGGCUUAGUCUAAACAAACGGUAAUGAAAAUGCUUAUCUUGUCGGCGCAUACAUUACAACCUUUCAAAACAUAUAUACUAGUAAUAGCCAAUCCAAUUGAUGCAUGAUUACACGGUGCAUUGGUUUGUUAAAUCGUCAACAACAUCAGACAUGACAAAACUCACCUACUCUCACGAGUCUAUUCCAAGAUUUGGAAUGGAACAGAAACAGUUGGAUUCAGGUAUGCACUUACCUCAACUAACGAGAAAACAUACAAGUCAAUUGCUCGUGCAAGUGAACUGGAUGUUUCCACCCGUCCUCAAAGAAGCUGAUUGAAGCGAGCCAAGACUAGCAUAUCUGCCCCUAAAGACAAGAAACAAGCACUAAUUUUUAAGAACAUGAGCAGUUGAAUCAAUGUGAACUUCUUCAUAAGGCAACAACUAUGAAAGUUAAAAGGCCCUCAGAGUUCCCAUGAACAGUUGUAGGAGGAUGUUACUUUGGCUGUCUGGCAACAAAAAUUCUAAAACAAUCUUUUACCAUUUUCAUUCACUGAACUUGACUGCUAAUUACAGAUACCAGAGAAUGCAUGUAUAAAAGCUCUCCAGUUCUACUUUAUUUGACUUCUACGAAUCUUGUCACACAGCACAAGCAUGGAUGUCUGUUAUAGGAAUCCUAUGACAACAUAACACUGCUUCUAGUCAUUCUAUGUCGACUUGACAACCGCUGGAAUUUCCAAUUUCUAGUCCCCGUAGCAGGAUAUACCAAGACAAGAAUUGGGAAAUCUGCUUCCAAUUAGCUUCUUGAAGAACGAAGAAUAAAAAACAAUCUCGAUUAUAUCGCAUUAUCUAUGCUGACACUGAUAAUUUGCUGAAGUUGAGAAGUUUUUCACAUCUAACCAGAAAGGACCUAGUCCAGAAGUUGAUCAGUACCUCGUCUUCAAAAACUAAUGCAUGUAUGCAAAAUUAAGAUUUGGAGGAUUCGAUGAUAUCUGUCAUUUCAAGAAUAAUAACCAACAAAUUCAAUCAGCUGGCCUCCAAGAAGAGAGAGCAUACAGAAUUCGUCCCUUCCAACCCUGCAACAGCCACUGGCUAUCUUCGUCAAUCACAAAAUCCUUGUCAUAGGACUUUGCCCGUUCUUUUGCCAUCCUCAUGAUAUCCUCGUUCAAUGGAAGCUGUCUGAAUCCUGCCCGUAAAUUUCGAACCUGCCAUUGCUUGUAAGUCUCUGGUCGCUCAACGCGCUCAGCAGCUUCACAUGCAAUGACAUUCAUUGCCUCUCGUCCAAAUAUUGUUUUCUCAAGCAGCAUUCUCUCAUGAAUUUCACGGGGAAUAUUAACCUCUAGCAUAUCAAAGAAAGAAGAAUAAUGAAAUAGAGCCUCUCGGAAUCGAGUGACAAAGAAAGGAGCAUUAUAUGCACCGUUGACUAUCCCUAGCACGAAAACGUCCGGUUUCAUCUUCCUAAUGAGGUUCAAGACGAUGUUUCGCGGACUAUUCACCACAACAGUCUCAUCGAGUAGAUUCCUCAUUCUAUAGAGACAGUUCACGGCAAGCACCUCAUCUUCACGGAUCUUCAGAUCUUCAAUCCUAACAGUUUCCCACUUCUGUGCUAUAGCAUUGAACUCAAAUGGGACUUUGAAAGUCUCAGCAUAAUUAGCCAGACGGCGACCUGUCUCCUCAACCCUCUCUGCUGGUCGAAAUCCAGGAUGUGGAAGAUCAAUCCCCGUGAUACGAAGUUUGGGAGGACCACCUGGUCUAGAUGAGAGGCGUUGUAUGAGGCAUGGCCACUGGAAACCAUAUAGAAUACCAAAAUCAAUUAUGUGUAGCGUUGAGCCUUCCUCAGCAGCAUGCCAAAUCAUCUUAUUGGAGAAGAAAUUAGAGAUCUUCCUAAAUGGACAGGCAGCAAGAUAAAGCUGGUAAGCUUUUAAGACAUCAGCAGCUGAUGUAGGCAUGGUAAUAAGGGCUUUGUAGAUCUGAGUGCCGGAGCCAGCCAUGCGUGCUUCAAGACCAUCAGCGAAAUAUUUGGCCAAUCGUUGCAUCCCAUCCCCAGUUGGAGAACAAUGUUGCCUAAUCUGCUUCAAAAACUCAUUUGCAGUCCUUCGAUCAUCAGCAGCAACAGCUUGCGCACAAAGGGUCAAGAGGGUUCUCAAAUCGACCACGUUCCUUUUAGCCGCUUGUUUCUUGCUACGAGAUUUCCCACCACUAGAACCCUUUAAUUUAUUGUUCUGUGGAACAUUUUUAACCGCUAUAUCCUGUAAUGCUUUACGGAGAUCAGACUCAUUUCUACCUCCACUGCAUAACAGCACCUUAUCAAACAGAUCCGACCUCACAGUUGAUUCAGUGAACACAGCUGACUGCUUGUUACUCCUACCUCCCAGUUGUUGCAAAUCUUCAUGAAGAGGAUUUUUCUUCCCCCUUGACUCAUCAGGUGAAUAUCCAUUUUCACUCCUCUCUACCUUGACAGUCAUAGGCCAUUUUUUCUGGUCCUUAUCCAACAACCCGUUCUCAUGGGAAUCAACAAGCAAAGCAUUGCCAUUAGGAAGGAAUUUACUUGCUUCCUCAACCCCCUUCUUAAAUUGCAUAGCAGACUGGCUAUCACUAAAUAUAUCAGAAAUCCUAAGGAUACUAUCAGGAGAAUCGAUAUGCCCAUCAGCGACAGUCCCAGUGCUAUUUGAUGAACUGUAGGGUGAGAAAUGUUGUACGUAAGUAGAAUCCGAUCCACUAGCAUCAUUAUUCCAACUUGGGCACCAAAUAAGACCAUCAUAACCCCCAAGAUAGCUUUCGUCCCUACUUGGAACCCUCAGAUUCGAACUGGGGACCUGAUGAUCAGGUGGAGGAGGAUACUUCUCGCCAAGAACAUCAUAGAAUGAUUUUUCCGCCGCUUGAAGAGCGGCCGACUCUUGAAACAUACACCCCUUAUCCUCCAUCUCCUCUUCCAUAAGUAUGUCAUUUAUAUACUUAAGUACCGCAUCACUAAAAUCAUAAUCCUCGUUCGAAUCACCGCUUGACAGCGGAACAAAUACAUUUGGAUAUAGGUGAGAUUGGACUGACAAACGGGAAGCAUAAUUUCGUUCGACUACAUUACCAUCGAGUCUUAAACUGCCAAUCAGAUUGGGAUUAGGAACAACAGAAACACCUUCAUUAUUAAGCUCAAUUCCAGAGGUGGUCCCAUAGCCCACUCUUGAGUUUCCAUCCAUAACCAUGGAUUUUUCGUCAGCAGCAACACUUUUUAACUCCUAGAGCUUUCCAACCUCGAUACUGUUAGAUUCUCCUUGAAACACUCUUUUCCCAACUACUUAGAACCGGCACAUACGGCAAGAAUUUCCAAGGUACAAGCUUUGAACAUCAAAUUCAGAACCCAGAAACUAGAGCCCUGAAACAAGUCAAGAACACAAAAGUACAACUAAAAUUCAUGAUAAGAAGAAUGAAAGAUUUAACUAACUAUUGACAAAAUCAAAGAAAGAGCAUAUCUUUAGCAUAACUUUAAAGGAAAGAGAAAAAAUGGAUAAAAAGCAAAAGAAGUCCUCAGAAAUUACAAGUCACAUAACAUUUCCUUACACCAACUCUAACAACAGAGCAAAAUCAGAUUCAAAAUCUUUGAUGGCUUCAAAAAGUCCCAGAUGGGAGCGAAAUCAGAUAAACAACGGUUAGGGUGCUUGUAUACCAGUAGUUGUAUGUGAACACUGGAACUUUCAACAUAGAACUUUCCGUGGGAUCCGUACCGGCGCAAUAGGAUAGCAUUUUUCCCAGCAUACAUACUACUAUCAAACAGUAGGAAAAUGUUAAGCAAGUACCUGAGAGAAAGCGCGGCAGCAGGGGACCGAGUGAAGAAUUUUAGAAUGGAUCAUUUUUGCUAGCAUUCAAGCUAAAGGGUCUGAGGAUGACAGAGAGGGAAUCUGAGCCGUUGAAUAUCCAAGUGGGGAGGCUGGGAGUGGGGACUAGGCAGAUUGAUGAAUGGAGUUUUAUAUUUUUGAUGGCAGAUAGUCAACUAGUUGCUCUGGUUGUUUCUUCUUAAUGGUCGUUAAGUAGUACUAUUUAGUAUUUAUCCUGCAGCCAAAAAUAGAAAAGAUUUCCAUUAAUUUUCUGCAGCUCUAUGGUACUUACUAUUUACUAUUUUCAACCUGUUUCGUCUCGUUCUCUUGGUCGUCAGUUUUCCAUACGAGAAGAUUGUGAGUUACCUCGUCUUAUCCCUGGACUUGGAUGCCACAGAUUAUGUCUUCAUUGCUUGGAAAGUGGGUACAUGCAUCAAUUCGCAAUUAUCCUCGUUUUAGAAAGUAUAUUAAUUUCUUGUCGCUUCUAGUCGAGAACUGGAUGAAAUCUUGACUAUCUUUUUUCUCUACUUGGCAACUUGUCAUCUUCCUUCCUUCCCCGAUGGGACCCUCUAAAUUAACUUCUCUUUGGCAUCUUGGUCACAAUUUCUUGUUCUUCUUUUCCGUUUUUAUCCCUUCCUCCUUUGUGCAACGUGGAUUUGUUUGGGCAAAGUAUUAUUUAAAAUAAUUAUUAUAGUACUUUUUGUAAUAUAAUUUUUGUUUAAAUAAAAAGAUGGUUAAAAAUAUAAAAAAAAUAUAUUUAUAAUGUAAGUGAAAUAUUAUUUAAUAAAAUUGAACUAUUCAAACACACUCAGCGAGUGUUGUACAAAUUGAUCCAACUUUGUAAAUUAAAUUUCGACAGUAUCAUAAACAAGUUUUUAAAUUACAUUUUCAUCAAAAAAAAAUUUAUUUUACACACAUCAAAAUAUCAAAAAAAAUGUAACAUUAUCAUAAAAAAAAAUGUUCAAAUAAUCUUCUAUCCACAUAAACCAUAAAUGCUUUGGCAAACAAUUAGUAAAAUUUUUCAAACUCUUUAAAGUUGAAGGAGUAGUUUGGAAGCCAAAUUUAUUUAAAGAGAACGAAAAUCGGUAUCGCAUAAAAACACUUUUUGUCUACCACCUUUUUUUUUCUGUCAAACGAUAGAAACCAACACACACAAUUAGAUUACACUCAGAGGUUACAUGAAAGACGACCCGAAAGUAAUCUAAGGUGGGACCCACAGAGAACCUCCAUCCAACCAAUUGGUGACAGGAGGAGGCCCCCACGGACCUUAAAUCCAGGGAAACUUCCCCACAAUCUUUCGAUGUGGGAAUGGACACCCAGACCCCCCCCCCCCGAGCACUCUCCCACCAUAGCAUGGUUUUUUUCUGUCAAACGAUAGAAACCAACACACACAAUUAGAUUACACUCAGAGGUUACAUGAAAGACUCUGUUUGGAUUGUAAAUUAUUUGAGAUAUUUUUACUGUAGCACUUUUUGUGAUGUGAUGUAUAUGAGAUAAAAAGAUAAUUGGAAAGAUAAAAAUGUGUGUUGAAAAUUAUAAUAAUGAUGUAAGCAAAUAAAUUUUGACAAAUAAUCCUCUAUCCAAACAAACCUACAGUCUACCACCUUUGCUUGUGUUGGUUUGACCAACACAAUAAAGGGGAGGGGACAAACUCCAUUAAUUGAGAUUCUGUCAAAGGUCCAAUAAUUACUGGCUUGAAAGUUAACAGCUGAAGGCUGCGUUUUGCACAUGUUAACAAUUGCCCCGCCAGCCAAUAGAUUCCGUAUUUUGGAAAUUUUAAUUCUACUGUGUCCAGGCCAUGCUUACUCCUAUGGAUUGGAUUCUGGAUUAUUCUAGUGGGAGUCUUCGGAGUUGGGACACAGUAAAACUGCACAACAAACAAAAAAUGAUUCAUUAUCUCUUAUGAAUUUUGUAGGGCAAAAACAAACUAUCUAAUUGGGAUACACAAUCCUGAAUAGGGAAGAAAUUCUUUAUGGAGGACUUAAAAAGCAAUAAAAUAAAAUAAAAUUCUAUAGAAGAAGGGCAAUGUACAUGAUGUGUAGAAUUAGUAACCCCAAUCAACAUGGAUUGCAUCUCAUAAAAACUGAAAAAAAGAAUAUCAACUUAUCUUUUUUCUUAAGAGGAGGAAUUAUUUUUGUUUUAUUUGGGGUGAAUAAGUAGUUUAAUACUCGAAUAUUUAUUUAGGAAUAAUUUCAGAAACCUCUCUUGAGGUUUCAUGAAAUAUCAUCUAGCUUCUCUAAACUUUUCAAAAUCUCACUUAGCACCCUUGAAGUGAUAGCAGGGCCAUAUACUAAUAUCAAAUGUGUUGAAUUGUCAAUAAUACCCUCAUUUUUAAUUUUCUAAACUUGUUUUUCUUUCUUUAAAUUUCCUACUUUUCUUUAAUAAUGUCUAUACAAACAAAUAUACAUACAUACAUACAUACAUAUAUAUAUGUAUGUAUAAUUGAAUUGCAAACGUCAAUGAAAUAUUCAAUGCAUUUGGAGAAGAAUAGCUGCAGGUUCUUUUUAUUUUUUCCCUUUUUUGGUGUUUCACAACUUUAUUUAUUUAUUCCUAUUCAUAUAGAGUGCAAGAGAAAUAAAGUAAUUGAAACUCCAAAUAGUUUUUCAAAUUCUGACUUUUUCUAUAAUAAAAUUUUCAUAUUUCACACCCAUAAAAAAAAGUCUGUCUAUUUUGAGUAAAAUUUUUGUAUGAUAUUGAAGUUGAAUAUUAUCUAUUACUAAGGCCUUGCUUGGAUUGCUGUUUUCCGUAGAAAAAUUUCAUCAUUUUCCGUGAACACAUUUCCCUAUUACCUUUUUUCCUCACAUACAUCAAAUCGCUACAGUAUUUUUUCCAUGAAAAAUGACGGAAAAUGCAAUCCAAACGGGACCUAAGUUUUUUUUGCUCAAAUGUAUGAUUUUACAUGCUAAUUACCUUCAAUACUAUGAACGGUUCUAUUUGUAUAAAUAGUUUAAAAAAUAAUAUUUUCUUUUACUAUUUCUUCCUACUGUAGAAGUGACUAUUGGUUGUAACAUAAAAUCUUAUCAAUUUUCAUCUCCUCACUUUUAAAAUGGUUCCAAUUUAGUAUUUUUUUUCUUGGUUUAUAAAAUGUUCAUUUUUUUUAUAGCCUAAGGGUAUUAAAGACACUAAAAUAAUCUCUCUCCUCAAACAUGAAUUUUUUAAUAUUACUUUUGGUUAGAAGGGCUUCCAAUGUUACCAAAUUGUCAAUUCAAUGGGUGCUAAGUGAGAUUUUGAAAACCUCGAGGGGGCUAGGUGAUAUUUCAUAAAACCUCAGGAGAGGUUUAUGAAAUUCUCCCAUUUAUUUAUCCACGUCCUCGUUUCUAGAAUCAAGUAUGACAGGCACAUGCCAGUGUUGAGUGGAAUGCUUACCAUAUUUUAGUGGGUACCAGUUGUUGUUGCCCACUUGGCCUUCGUUAAAAUUUUUCCGGCUCACAAGUUGUUGGCACCGGAUAAAAGGCAAAUAGAACAGCUAGAUGAAAAUUGGGGACCAAAAUUUUCUGUCUCUUGUAGAAAAGCUCAUCGGAUGAAUGCAUCCACACCAAAUUUACGGCGUUUUCUUGGGUCAUUCUUCAUCUUCGUCACCGUCUGCGGAUCGGAUGUUCGGGUGCCGAGCGCAUAUGCCUUGGUCCACCCCGGUUAACUGUUGUCACAGAGAUGAUAGGCCAAAAUGUGGAUAAUUGUGAUUUUUAAUGAUUUAAUGGUUCAAAUUGUAUCGCACCACCACUUGAUGAAAAGAUAUGACAAAGUUUGGACAAUUAAAUUUUAAAAAAUUAGGUUGAAUAUUUAACAAUUGAAUCUAUUAAGUGUGAGUCAAAAUAAUACCCCGUUUCUCAUAAUAUUUGAAUGACUGAUAACGUUUCUCAUAUCCUCCUCUUUAAAAGUGUCGAGUUUUUGUUGACUUGACAGUCUACAGUGGCGCAGUAUGGUUAUGGGCUGUAAUUUAGAGCUAUACCUAUUUUCCAUUCAAGUUUUUUUUUUCUUAAAGGAGAAAAACACUACUAUGUCAUUCAUUCGAAUCAUUCAAAGUAGCAAGAUACAAUAGAAGAUAGAAAUUUAUUCCACCAUACAAUUCGAUUGUCCAAAGUAAGAGCUAAGUUAGCUAAAAGAUGAGUUAGUAAAUUACCAUAUUUGCAUACAUGCAAAAUUUGACUAUUCUAGAAAGUAUCCCUUAAAUAUCGAGCUUUAUCCACUAGAUGUCCAUUUGUAGAUAAAUCUUCCUCUCCCCUAUUUAAGCAAUCACUUUUCAGAACAAAAGUUUCAAUUCUAACUUUACCCUCUCCAUUGCUAGACAUUGCGCACUGUUAUCAAUUCAGAAAUUACCAAUACCUUUUGUAAAUGCUAUCAACCAAUAUUGUUAAAUUUGGACCGGAUAACGGCUCGACUAAAUUAUUGGGUUAGGGAUCAAUUGGUCGGAUCGUUCUAAAAAAUUCGUUGACAUCAGUUUAAUGUUAUUGAAAUUAAAUUCUUGAUUAUAUUUGGUCAAUCAUGAAAAAUGUUUCAAAAAUAUUAGACUUGCAAUCAAAUAUAAAACUAAUAAUUAUAUAUAAAAAUAUAAAUUCAUGAUUAAAAUAUAUCUAUUCUCCAAAUUACUUGAAAAACUAAAUUAAAACAAAUCAAUGCAAGUUGAAAUCACUAAUGUUAAAUUAAUGAGAUCAUAGGGAUGGGAACAUCUUGAUUUAGAUAUCAUUUAAGAAAGCGGAUGAUUUUGAUAUUUACAUUUAAUGAGUUACAUUUUCUUAUUCCUAUUAAUAAAUUAAAGUAUUACAAUUUAGAUAACUCAAAUUAUGUAUGGGAAAAAAAGACAGAAAAAAUUGAAAACCAGAUCAACCAGUGGAAUCGGUUAAUUGAUUUAGCCAAUUUUUUAUGAUUUUGACUGAUUUUUUAUCAAGCAUUUUAUACUACAAAUUAAUUUGAAAAGAAGUCGAUUCACGAUCGGACUGAUCCAACUAGCCAGUACAGUCCGGAUCUAACAACUUUAGUCAUGGCUUGUCUUGCUUUAUCUCUAACAGUCACUCCAAUAGUUCAACAAUCAAUAACUAUCAUGUUGUUUUGUUAUUUUAGAAGAAAAAAAAUAAAGUUGUGGUCUGACUUUACUUGACAUUUUAUUGAUACUGUCUGUGUAUAAAAUUAAAAUGUAGUGGAGAAUCGGGAUAUCAUAUCCAAAUAAAGUAGGCAUAACAAAUUUGCCUGAAUAUUCAUCACAAUCAAUGAAGUCAACAGUCGAGGGAUUGAUGGACCUUUGCAACGUCCAGUGAGGCUACCCAAGACCAGGGACGUUAACCAGAUGAUUGUAAGUAAGGAUGGCAAAGGGGACGAGUGGCUAAUGGAGCAGGGGUGGGGCGGGAGAGUGUACUCGUGUCCCGUCACUUGUUUUAAAAAAAUAAAUAUAAUAUAUAUAUGUAUAUAUUUUUAUAUAUAAUAUAUAAUUUAAUUAGUUAUAAAUUUAUGAUAAUUAUAUUAUUAGUUAUAUGUAUUAUAUAAUGUAUAUUAAUAUAUGUAAUAUAAUUGAUAUUAUCAAUUAUACUAAUAAUUAUAUAUGUGUACUAAUACAAAUUAUUAAUUGGUUAUACUAAAUUUACUAAUACAUUUAUACAAAAUCCCUAAUUACACUUAAUACAAUAACAUAUUUUUCUCGAAAAAAAACACAAGCACAAUAAUAAAUUAGUGAUGUAUUUGUGUCAAAAGUGAAAACUUGAUUACUUUAAUUGUAUUUAUUUCAUCAUGUUAGAUUGUAUUCAAAUAACUUUUGUUUGAUUGUUUUUAUAAGUUUCAAUUGUGAAAUUACAAUGAAUAAUUUGGUGAUGUGUUGAUAUUUUAGUACUUGAUUAUUUGCUAAACUUUAACUAUAAUAAAAUUAUAUAACAAAUUUUUACUAGUCCCAUGGAAACACCCGCGGAUAAAGCUGGACGGGGAGGGGGGAGUGGGGGACGGGUUCCCGCUCCAACCCCACCCCGUUGCCAUCCUUAAUUGUAAGAUUUCUUCUUCGACUUUCAAUCCCUUUCUUUUUUCUUUUUUUGUUUUGGGUAUCCUCCGAAGUUUGUAUUAUUAAAAUAUUAGAACUUUUUCAACGCAGUUUGUUAUCUCUUCCUCUGCUACUCUACUAACCCAGCAACAUCAAAGAUCACUUUUUCUAUUCUUUUUAACACAUUUGUCAUUGUUUAUACAACCCUAGUUACUUAAUAUUCUCCGAUCUUAACAAGAAGAAAAUAUCAACUUCAUUUUCUAAAAAUUUUUCCAUGUAUUUGACCAGUUAUGUGUAAAUUGAGAAAACGUGUUUAAUUAAUCCAAUCAAAUGACUGAAUUUUAGAUUACUGAUUUAUAACAAAAUGUUCUUUUUCAAUCUUUUGUUUAUAAGUUUGUGGAUGUUAUUGUAAACUAUAUUAUUUUUUAUUAUGGAAUUCAAACUUUUUACUGACGUUGCGACUUUAUUAGGUGUUGUAUAACAUCUAUGAGUAGUUAGUUGUUCCGUUAAAUUGAAUAACUUGAAAUAGACAUAAAGUGAGUUCGGAUUUACUUAUAUUAGGCCUGCUACUCUACUUUUUUUGUGAAUCGAGCAUGAAUUAUAAAAUGUGAAUAAGACCGAAAUGAGCUCAGACUUAAAUAAUGAUAUUUUAUAUGAAUUAAGUUUGAAUAUGUUAAAACCUAACUCAAGUUACCCAAUUAAUAGACGUAUGUGACACCAAGUCAAAUAAUAAAACAACAAACUUUUUUACUUUUUUUUUUUUUUUCUAUUAUCACCAUUUACACUUACUCCUACUAAGGAGGUGAUCCAACAGGAUCACGAUGAAUAUAAGGAAACUACUCGCGAGGAGUCGACGGGGACUACUACUCCUGUUAAGACGGUGAUCCAACGGGGUCAUGGGGAACCGAUAAAUACUAUCGGAUCAUACGGGUGUCUAAUCGACGGGAACUACUACUCCUACUAAGGAGGUGACCCACCAAAGUCACGGAGAACCGAUGGAGAUUGAACUACCAUCAAACCAUCCAGGUGCAAGAGACACUCAUAUAGAUUUAAGAGAAAUCACAUUAAGUAGCAACUUUUGAUGGUAGGUAAUGUUUGAACUUUUAAUCUUCCAUCCUAUAAAGACAUAUGGUGACCAACUACUCUAGAGGUAAUUGGUUAACAAAUUCUUUUCCGCUUGCCAAGGUGAAAUUGAAACCGGCUACCGAGGAGACAAGCAUGACUACGAGUCUACGAGCAUCCUUUUCCGGUCCAUAUCAUCUUUUUCCGUCCAAAGCAAGAGUCCUGAAUUUUUAGGGCCCACAUCUAGCUCGGAAGUUGGUUGCGUCCGGCUAUUGUCUUUACUGGGCUUUACUGUAUUUGAUCUUCUGCAUUUGAGUUUUUAUCAUUAUUAUUAUUAUUAUAGUAUAAGUAAGAGUGUUCUAACUUAGGAUCUAUCACUUACACUCCCUACUCCAAUCUUUUGCAUUUGAGUUGGAAUAUCCCAUGUGAUUUGGAUUUUAUUUUCUCAUAUUGUUAGAAGGGUUAAUCCAAAAAAAAAAAAAAAAGCACUUCCCUUGAUCUUAAAGUAAACAUGUUCGAUAACAAUGUAAUAAAGUUUUCAAUUCCUAAUUUAAUUUUUUUUUACUCCCGAGCACAUGGUAAGUACUAUUAGCUAAUUUACCUUCAUAAACAGAUCCUUUAAUGGCUAUAAUAAUUCUAAGAAUUCUUGUUCAAUUAUGUCAAGAGACAAAAUGUCCAAAAUUAAUUUCUUAAGAAUUUUUGGGUGCAUUGAUAAGAUAUUCAGUCACUUCACCUAAUUGUUUUUUUAGCUGUAUCUUGAGGUUCUUUAUCAAAUUAGAUAGAAUUUGUCUUCAUGGAACUGUUUGGUUGCAGAGGCAGAGCAUCUUUUUUGUGCAGCCUAUUCUACUGGCUGAUAUGGCUUUCAAUCAGUGAAAUCUUAUCAUUUCAAAUGAAAAAGAGAGAAGAAAAAUACCUACCCUUCAAUAAAAUUCACAGAAAAUCAAACUUCCAUAUGUUGCAUCCAACUUUCGGCAGUCUUUUCCUUCAAAAAAACAAAAACAACUUUCGGCAGUCUUCUCAGCAGUACACUGCGACGCCAGGAAAGUUGUAGUGCAGACAUGUAAAGUUUCGAGCCUAGUGCACGGUACGUGGUGGUUUAGGCAGCCCAAAUGGGUCCAAAAUUUCUUUGAGAGUGCACGGUUUCCGCAAAUCAACCAGGCCCAUCACUUCACCUUUUCAAAGGUCUUCAUCCAAUAAUCACGAUACCAAUACCAACAAUCUUGUUUUUCUAGGCCAUGUACGUGCUAUAGCAUCGCCCCACUGGAAUUGGUCUUGUACAAAUUUGGGCUAUCGAAAACGACAAAAGCGUGAUUCGCCUUUUUUUUUUUUUUUAAUAACAAAAAAUCAAAGCAUGUCUAAAUGAUGGAUACCAAUAUAAGAAUUCCUAUAAUCAAGAAGAUGAGCUAUCAUUAAUUUGUGUCGUAUUUUGUUUGGAAUAGGAUUUUCCUUUAGGAAGGAAAAUGACAAACUCAUGCAACCCACAGGAAUGGGCAUAACCCAUGUAGUCGAGAAAUGUCCAAAUCUUUAUUCUUUUUCGGUUAAUUAGGAAUUUAUAGUCAAUACCGACCCUGGCUAUUGGCUGCAAUCUAUAGCUCCUAACUUUCAUAGCUAUCGAUAAAAACUAGGAUGUUAUAAUUAGCACCAUUUUAAUCAUGGACCAAAAGAUCGUGCAAUUGCCUACCAUGUUUUUAGAAACUUAAAUAAGUGGAAUUUAUUCUGAACCUUUUGUUGGUGUUCAUCUCGUUAUUCGUGAGCUAUUAACUAUAGAGCGUUCUUGAAUUGCGAUCAAGAAGUAUUGAUAUAGUUGACCAUGGGAGUUAUUAUUAUUAUUAUUUUUUGUCAAUACAGGGGUAUCCGGAUCUUCGGUCCGACUAAUCUCGUGUACUUGUGCAUCCCACCUUCCAAAAAUAUACAAGACAAGAUAGCACCCGACCACACGGUGCCAGGACCUAAGUAGGCAACCCUGGCAUCAGCCAAACCAACCCCGAGGGGCGACUAUGGGAAUUACUUGUAAUCUUAUUCUUAAAGAAGAGAAAAACGAAUUAUAAAUAUCUAAUGUGGAACGCUUGGACUUAAAGCCUAAUUGAGAUGGCAAGUUGUAAAUACUUUUGAGGGGUUCAAAUGAUAUGCUGCAAUAAUAUAAUCAACCAACAGAACCUUCUUGGGCACAAUCCGGUUGUGGCACGAGCAAGGAAGCUAAUGCAGUCGAGUCAGUCUCAUAGAUGAACUCAUUCAUUUUGCAACACGCUUUUCAAAGUAAUUACUAGGUUUUUAAGAUCUGCAAUACAUUAGCAAAGUUGGUUAAGGAGCCCAAAUCUAUAAUCUAGUGAUUAAGGAAGCAACGCGCAAAAAAAAAAAAAGUGAUUUAGUGGGGGGAUUCAGAUCUGAAUCAGAUGAGGAAAGAGCUGUAAUUGUUGUUGGCAGCCUGGGUUGGGUACUAGUAGUCAAUGGGGAAUUGGCUAAUGUGCCUCUCAUUUAUUUAUUGAUUUAUUUAUUGUCCCCAAAACUUAAAAACUAGAGUAAAACCCAGAUACGUAGCGUGCUAUGUUGGUCUGGUCCAUGUUCGUUCGACCUUUGCUUCAUCCAAACGUAAUCCAUACAAAUGCACCGCCUGAUCUGAUCGUCGAGCCCCGGUUCCCAACCACACCAGAUUUAUCAUUUAUGUACUGCUACAGCCACUAUUUCUAUUGGAUUUCUACUAAUAAGUACUAUACUUUCAAACAAAUACCAAUAUUGAGACAGACUGAAACUCCCACAAAACCGCAAUCUCAAUCAAUCACCUAUAUAUACGUGUGUGUGUAUAUAUAUAUAUAUAUAUGCCCAUCUUUCCACGCAACCAACACUUCUACUCGGCUUUCACAUGCCCCAACGUGCUUUGCUGCUUAAAAUGCUAACUGCUUCAGUCAAGUGUCAAUUAUUAUUAUUACUAUUAAUUAAUGGUCAAUCUCACCGCGUACUUUAUGCUCCAAACACCCCAGGGGUAAGGGUAAGGGUUUUUCUUCCAAGUUUCCCCGACUACACUACACUACUACUACCUCUUACAUAUCGGGAGUAAUUUUUUCACUUCGCCGUACUUACGACACACAACCAAUGGGGAAUGGGGACAACUUCCCUUUGCCGCCACACAAACGAAAACACUACCAGAACUGGAACCACCCACGUUUCUUUCCGCUCAAACUUUGCUUCCUCACCCAAGGAUUAAAAUCUGAAUUCUAAAUUAUUAAUGUUGAAAGGCUUUAACGGGGAGAUUCCAAUUGAUACACCGCAGCACUUUUCACCCAACUUUACAUUCUCCUAGCUACCAUCCGUUUGCCUACCUACCUAAAAAUCUUCUAAUCCAACACCAAUAAGAACUUGGCUGGCGGAACCUGCCUGCAUAAUAAGUCUGCUGAGAAUCCUCAAAUCCACUACCAUGUUCUUAUUUUAUAUGAGAAUCUAUUUUUGCCCACCACAACGUAAUCAAAUUACAGAAGAUAUUCGUCAGUUUUGAGUUUGUCUUCUCAACUCACUCCCCACAUCCACAUGAGAACAGAUGGAACACGCAGCUAAAACUCUCUUCAUUUUACAGCUAAGAAUAGGAGGAUUUCUUUAUAACGAAUAACCAAGAAGAUGUUUCAACAAACAACAACAGCUGUUACAACGUGCACUUUCAUUCUCUUCGUGCCAAUCACCUUUGUUCUACAACUAUGUUCAAAGAAUAGAAUAAUGAAUCAGGAGUCGCUGCUAAAUUCUUGUAAGUGCAACCUUUAUUUCAUCAUUUACAUGUGCCAGCCCACCCCUACUCAAAGAAAUUAGGCUGGCAAUAAAUCAGUGACAGUGAGUGUGACAAUGCUACAAUAAAAUUUCACAAUCUUUUUACAUUUUGGGGUUUUCAUUUCCUACCACAAAUUUUUACAUGCUCACAGGUUGAAACUUCAAGCCUCGUACUUUUCUGCUUGUGCAUCCAUUAUCUG
rnacentral:lncRNA from 1 species